rnacentral:lncRNA from 1 species
GAAAAUAACUGUUUAUAUGGACGAAAAUGGGUAGCAUAGAGCUGGGUAGGUCGUUUUAGAGAAUAGUUGUAUCCAAAUUGACAAUUUUACCCCUUAAAUAGAGUCGAAAGACAACUUCAGACAAAAAAAAAAAAGGAAAAAAAGUUGGACGGCAACAUAAACUAAAAAACAAAUGAGACCAAAAUAAAAUUCAAGUAUAAAUUCAGAGACGUCUGUUAUAGAAAGUCCUAUAUACCCAUACAUUAUGGGUGGGCCAAGCUAACAAUCAAGAUGUCUUGACUCUUGUUCUUCACAUCAUAUCCUUGAUUGUAUUUCCAAGAAUCUAACUUUAAUGUAUUGCCUUUAAAUUAAUUAUAAAAAAAAAAAUAUUCCAAAGAAUCAAUAUAUGUACAACAAAUUCAAAUUUAGGUAGGAGAUGUUGACAAGGAAGUGCUCAAAUAUUUGUACAUUUGCCACAAGCCAUGACUACUCUUAGCACGAGGUCUGCGUAGAUUCCUAUAAAACUAAACUAAGUGUCUGAUUUUAUAUUACUAUACAAAGUUUAUGGUUACAAAACUAAUACAAUUUUAUAAUCCCUCAAUCUCAAUAAUGUCGGCUAAAAUUAAUAUUCCAUUCACAUAUAAUAACAUUAUACCAAAACUGCAGUCGUUUUCAUGGUUGUUACUUAUAGAUAUGUGUCCAAAAUAAAUACAUAAAAAAAUGUAAUUCGAUGACCCGGAGAGGUGCCGACGUGGUAUCAAUCACUUAACAAACAUUCCCACGUCUCUGUUAUUUAACAGAAUUUUCCUAAUCCUUAUUGUUUUGUGUAUAAAAAAAAAAAUAACAUAAUGUUUAUUUUACAUGAAAUUUUUGUUACAUAGAUCAACAAAUAAAUGAUUGUCUAAAUUAGUUAAUGUUGGCGCGUCCUUACUAAUUAGUGAGGAUUUUGGUUUCUUACUUAAUUAGAAUUUUGGUUUCUUAUUUUAUUAGAAUUUUAGUUGUUUAUCAAUAAUUAUUUAGUCAUAUUGUAAUAGAGAUUUACUUCAUAUUGUAAUUUAGAUAUAUUUCUUAUUUUAUUUAGGGUUAACACAUCUUUGUACUUGUAUAAAUACCUCCAUAUUGGAGAAGAAUAAUAAUAUGAGCGUAUCUUAGUAUAACUGAAUUAUUACCCUACUUUGUUUAACAUGGUAUCAGAGCCAGGUCGCUAACCUGUGAUAACCCCUGCCAAAUUGAGAGUCGUUGGCACUCCUCAUUCCUAACCCAUCAUGGGUCUUCAUCUUGUAUAGUCAUCUUCUUUUGUUCAAUCCUCUCAUAUGUGUUUUCACCGCACCUAGCCUUCACAUGCUUCUUUGCUACUGUUCCAAAUUUUUUUAUUUUUUUAUUUUUUAUUUUUCAUCUUUGUAUGCCAGAUGAUCUUUCUUGAUGUCCCAGCUUCUCUAUCUUUGAAACUUCAUAACAGGUCUCUUUACUCCGUGAGCCUCGUCACCGUCACCGAGCCGUUGCUUUCCUCUACGAGCCUCGUCACUGCUCACCGAGCCUUUCCUUUGACUGUUCUGCCGGUCUCUGUCUUCUUCAGCAACUCUCUUGAGUUGCCUUUCUACUUCUCAGUUUUGAGCACCCUUUCUUUGUUUCUCUCUUUGCUCUAUUUAGCUCUAUUUUAUUUAUAUUUAUCUCUUGUGUUUGUCUAUGCUCAAUGGCUGGUGUUUGUUGUGUUCUUUCCCCCCGCCAUCUCUCCAUCUUUGUCACUCUAGCCUUUCCCGUUGGGUGUUUAUUAUUUAUUUUUCUAUCUCCUUCCCUUUUACCCUUAUGCUUAUUUCUUUCUACCUUUGGCCUUUUUCCAAUAUUCAUCCCUUUCUUUGUUUGUCUAUUUCCUCACAGACACCUUCCUUUGUCAUUAUUUUCCUUCAAUCACAACAUUAUUCUCUCCUUUUUUCGGUUCUAGCACCUCACUUUCUUCCACUAGUUUCCUUUUAAAAAUUGUCACAUGCAAUUUCCUAUGCUUUACUGUUUUAACAUCUUUAGUUUCUUCCUCUUUGAUCUACCGAUGUGGUUUCCCCUGCUAUGCAGUCUAAUUCGAAUUCUUUUCAGAUCCUCUCUAUUUCUCAUCUUUCUUUUACCAACCUUUUCCAUUUUGGGUGCUGCAACUUUAUUUUUCGGUGUUGCUUUCUCUAAAUCUCGACUCUCAUACAUCAUCAGAUUUGAAGGGGAGUGACACCGCUGCUCAUCUAUUCCGCUGCAAUUAGCUAUCUAUCUGCCAUGGCUGAUUCUUCUACAUCUAAGCGUCAAUCAACUUCUGUUUCUUAAGUGCCACUUCUCUUAUGGUUCCGACGACCCCUUCUCUUCAGGGGAGUGAAGAUAAGUUGUCUGUGCGAUAAUGGAAGUAUUUGUCAUUGUUAUUGCUGCUAACUACUAUGUCCUUUGCUGGUGCCAGUACUGUUGCUCAUCCCUGUUAUGUCUCUUGCUGGGGACAAUGUUAUUGCUCUUGCCUAUUAUGACUCUUGCUGGGGACAAUGUUGAUUACUGUUGAUGAUGUCUGUUAUGUCCUUGUCUUGUUGCUCUUGCUGGUGCCAGUGCCUUGUAUUACUGUUGUUUGGUACUAGUAUUAUUGCUCCUGCCUAUUAUGACCCUUGCUGGGGACAGUGUUGAUUACUAUUGAUGAUGCCUAUUAUGUCCUUGCCUUGUUACUCUUGCUGGUGCCAGUGGCUUGUAUUGCUAUUGUUUGGUACCAUUAUUGUUGCUCCUGCCUGUUAUGGUGCCAGUAUUGUUGCUCAUGCCUUUGCUGGUGUGUUUCUGUUGUGGUCGAUGUUGCCGCCGUUGAUGUUGCCUUUGCUUGCUUCGCUUUCCUUUGAUGUGGUCAUUGUCGUUGUUGUUGUUGUGGCCUUGCCCUUUGCCUUUGCUUCUGCCUUACCUACUGCCGUGCUCAUAGGGUUUCUGUGUUCUGUCUUACCUACUGCCGUGCUCACAGGGUUUUUGUGUUCUGCCUUACCUAUUGUCAUGCUCACAGGGUUUUUGUGUUCUGCUAUGUGCCCUAUUUUUUACCGUUUACUCUUGUGUUUCCGCUGCGAACUUUGCUUUAGUUUGUCACUUGUUUCACUUGUGGUUGACUAAAAUACCUUCUCUACAAUUGGUCCUUCUCAAGUAUGGUGUUCUGUGACUCGCUUGUCAAGUUGGGCGUGCAAAAUAUUUUUGCCCAACUUGAGGGGGAGUGUUGGCGAGUCCUUACUUAGUUAGAAUUUUGGUUACUUACCAAUAAUUAUUUAGUCAUAUUAUAAUAGAGAUUUACUUCCUAUUGUAAUUUAGAUAUAUUUCCUAUUUUAUUUAGGGUUAACACAUCUUUGUACUUGUAUAAAUACCUCCCUAUUAGAGAGAAUAAUAAUAUGAGCGUAUCUUAGCAUAACUGAAUAUUUACCCUACUUUGUUGGACAGUUAAUACUAUGUAAAGGGCUUGUAGCUGAAGCGGUUAAGAGUAAUUAGAUUUGUAACUGGUGUCCUAUGUUCGAAUCCCCUCUUCCAUUACGUUUGUAUGAAUCAAAAAAUGAAAAAGAAAAAAAAAAGUAGUUAACACUAUAUGGUUACAUAAAUGAAUCAUAUUUUGGAAAAUUUUCAGAGAAUGCAAUUUGAAAUGUGCAUUUGUAUCGAUGUGGAAUGAAGACUUUUUUUGGGACAAAAAUCUCCGCGUAGUUCAAUGAACAUAUAUACCAAGUUACAUAUCGCAUCUUGGUCAAAACAUUGGGUUGCAUAGUUUGCACAAAGGAAAGCAAUCACAUAUAAAUCAAGGUUCCAUGGGACCAAAGUUAAUAGUGUACUGGACCAGGCUGGCUGUAUACAUACAUAGGCUUCAUAAAGUUUGAUAAAGGGCUCGGCCUUCAUUAGCAAGGGCUCUAAAUUAAUCCUACCAUACAAUGCUUUAAUUAUUUGUGCACAGUGACUACCAUGUCAUACUUCUUAGGCUAAUAAUUACUAUAUUAGACAUUUUAGUUAAUUUUGAUUUGAAUUUAUAAAAUAUUUUCUUAUCUAUCCAUUUUAAUUUUGAAAAUCCCAUAAAUAUGCACGGAUACAAAAAAUAAAUAAAUAAAUAAAUAAAUUUCCUAUAAUCUUUCUUCUUCAUCUUGUUCAUCUUCUUCUUUCUUCUUCCUUCUUUUUCUUCUUACAAUCCUAUGGAGGAGGUAUAAUUAUCUAUGGACUAGGAAUAUACAUGAAUGUUAAUUAGGUAUGAAUAGGUAAAUUACCUAUGGAGGAUGUAUACAUAUGAAUGCUAUUUAUCUAUGAGGAGGUAUACAUAUGAAUGUUAAUUACUUAUGGAGGAGAUAUAUGAUAUGAAAUUACCUAUGAAUAGGUAUACACAAACUUGCAAAGCAGGUAAAUCAAACCAUCAAAAGACAUAUAUAUAUAUAUAUAUAUAUCUCACCAUAAGGUAUUCACUGGUUGAAAGCGUUUGAUAAAUUAAGAUUAAUUGUAGAAAUGUGAUAUUAAUUUAUGAUUGAAGUCAUUAAUAAAAUUUAGAGGAUUGACUGUAUAAUGGCGCUAUGUGUAAAUGUUUUAAAAAUAGUGGCCAAGGCUUUACAUACUUGGCUGGCCUGUAAGUCACUAGACCCAAUUCAACGUCAAAAGAAAGUGACUACAUUCAUAUGCAACUCAAAAUCAGACCUAUAUCAGAAGACCCCUAAAUAUUUUGCCAAUAGGGUGUAGUUCACGUGAAAAAGGGUUUUGACUUAUAGACUAGUGGUCUCAGGUUUGAACCCUCACAAUCCUUUGGUCGUGUGUGUGAGAAAUCCCCCUUUCUCUUAUAGUUUAUAUUGGCGUGACUUGUGGACUCGCCGUUACUUCUUUACAUGAUAAUGAUUCCUAUAUUCUAUGUAAUUGAUUUACUUUAAUUCAUGAUUUCCUACUAUAAAUAGAAUUACGAGUUAUCACUUUCCUUGACCUACAAGGGUUUAUUGUAUUAUAAACACAACCUCCUAUGAGGAGAAGAAUACGCAGAAAAUUCCCACAAAUAAUAUUCUCUCAUAAGUUUCAUAUUUUGGCAUGGUAUCAGAGCAGUAAUCUUGGAUUGUUGCUAAACUCUAGCCAACCACAUGCCAAUGUCACCAUGGGGGAUCAAUAUACGAUCAUCCCUCAUGGAGGUAGCAUCACCGAUUUUUCUACCACCCAGACUUAGAAACUAGAAGAAUUGACGACCCAGAUGACCCAAUUUUUAAAGAGACAGAACUAGGCCUUGACCCUAACCAUACCUCGAUCUUAGAAGAAUUGCUGUUAAGAAUAAACCAGUUUUUGAAAAAGACCUUGACCCUGAUCCAGACUCCGACUCAUACUCAGACCCAUAUACUAACCAAGACUCAGAUCCCGACCCCGACCCUGAAACAAACUCAAACCAAGAUUCUAACCCAGAUACUGACCCAGCCUAUACCAUAUGAAUUUUCCGCUGCACAUAUUACAACUUCCCUCACAGAGCUCAAGACAAAUGGAAUAAAUUGCACAUACUGUGGCGAUCCGAAACACAUUCGUGAGCCUUGUUUCAAAUUGAAUGGCUACCCCAAUUGGUGGGAUAAACUCAAAGAUCAAAGAAGAUCUGAAGCUGCCAUAAGUGAUUCUGGUUAUGUAUUCCAUACUUCGAAUACGAGUGCUUCCACAUGAUGGAUCAUUGACUCCGGCGCAACUAAUCUUAUGACAUCAGAUCCUGAUGAUUUUCUGAGUACCACCCAACCCAGACGAACUAGUAUUGCUAAUGCCAAUGGCGUUACUUAUCUUGUGACAUGGGUUGACACUGUUGCUCUAUGUAGAUGACUUUAGUGCAGACAUGGCUAAUAGUGUGACGCAUUCCUCUGAUAGCAAACAAAGACAAAUCUGGUUGUGGCACUAUUCUGGACUUCCAUCCUUUAGUUAUAUGAAGCAUAUUCUACCCGAUUUAUUCUCAAGUUUCAAAGACUCCUACUUCAAAUGUGACAUUUCUAUUUUGGCCAAGAGUCAUCGUGUGCCCUAUCCGUUGAGUACGAGCAAGUGUAUUAUUCUGUUUACAUUAAUUCACUAUGAUGUUUGGUGACCCUCGCCUAUCACUGCUCCUUCUAGUGUUUGAUGGUUUGUCAUAUUCGUUGAUGAUCAUACAUGGAUUACAUGGCUUCAUUUGAUGAAGAAUAAAAACGAAGUGUUUUCAUGGUUUCAGUUCUUCCACAAACACAUACAAGCUCAAUUCAAUGCUCAAAUUCAGAUUCUUCAUUUUGACAAUGAUAGAGAAUUUGUCAAUCAUGACUCAGACUUACUUCCAACAACGUGGAAUUAUCCAUGAGACGACAUGUCCUCAGACACCACAACAAAAUGGUGUUGUUGAACGAAAGAAUCGAAAUCUUCUUGAAAUAGCCUGAGCAUUUCUAAUUGCUGCUCAUGUUCUUCAUUGUCACUGGGAUGAUGCUAUUAUCACCGCAGUUCACCUAAUCAACCACAUGCCUUCUGGUGUCUUGAACUUUAAAACUCCCAUACGAAUGCUCGCACAACACGGGGUCCCUGCCCUUUGUUUCUAUUUUGAUGCUCACACCCCGAAUCUUUGGAUGUGUGGCCCUCGUUCAUCUUCACAAAAAUUAGCGCAACAAACUUGAUCCAUGUGCGCUUCGUUGUGUUUUUGUGGGAUAUGUCAUUCAUCAGAAAGGCUACCUGUGUUAUUAUCCUCCUUCCCAAUGCACGUAUGUCACUAUGGAUGUCACUUUUUUGGAGUAUGAGACAUUCUUUCAUGACCUAGUAUCUAAUGCUCCGCUUCAGGGGGAGACACAGAGUAAAGCACAGACUUGGAGCACCUUAGAAGAUGGAAAAUUUGAAGUAUGGAUGAAAACGACCGGUCGUUUUGACAAUAACGACUGCUCGCUUGAAACAGUAAGCUCUAUGGACAAAACGACUGGUCACCUCGAACAAUAGAACAAGAUAGCUCGCUCGCGAUAAAACAACUGAUCGCCCUGAAUAAUUGAACUGGUCGCCUGUGUUUGAAAUGUCCCAUGAUUUGACUACUUCUGACUCCCUUGAUAAAAAAGAUGAACCUGAACGCACUGAAUACCCCCCUUCUUAUUUAACAGUACCAGACAACCAAUCUCUUGAGAAUAUCCGUGAGGUAAAUAUCCCUACAACUCCUGUGAAUUUAGUUGAUGAUUCUAUUGGAUACCAAUUACCUUUCUGGCAAAAUAGUGGAAAACCACCAAAUCAGUAUUCUCCUAAUAUGCGAAGACGUCGAAGUACCUAAUUGCCAAUCAUGUGUCAACUCAAAGACUGCCUGAACCACUGAAGACGUUUGUGCAUCAAUUAUCUGCUAUUGUCAUUCCCACUAAGGUGACUGAAGCAUUAAAAGAUCUGAAGUGGACCCAAGCAAUGAAGGAAGAAAUGAAGGCUUUGGAGAAAAAUCAGACAUGAACACUAGAGAUAUUACCUCCAGAAAAAAGAACAGUUGGACACAGAAGGGUGUUUAUUGUCAAUCACAAUGCUGAAGGGUCCGUUGAAUGAUACAAGGCCAGACUUAUGGCAAAAGGGUACACACAGACUUACGACAUCGAUUAUGAAGAAACCUUUGCUCCCAUAGCAAAGCUUAACACAAUCAAAGUGCUACUAUCUCUUGCAGCUAAUCUGGAUUGGCCUCUCUAUCAAUUUGAUUUAAAAAAUGCUUUCUUACAUGGUGAACUCAGAAAAAAAGUGUACAUGGACGUUCUACCGGGAUAUACAAUAUCUACUCAAAUUAGUAUGGUAUGCAAGUUGCGAAAAGCAGUAUGGCCCCGUUUGGUUCACAGAACGAAUUUGAUGGAAAAUCAUUACCCAUAUAAUUUCCCAAUGGAUGGAAAAUGGAAGAUUCAUUUCCCACGUUUGGUAAUGCUAGGAAAGUAACCGGGAGAUAGCAUUUUAUUUCCUUUCCUACGUUUGUUUUGAGUAUGAAUGGAAAACAAAUAAAUUUUCAAUUAUACUCAUAUUAAAUUAAAUAAAAAAAGAAUGCAUUUAAUGAUAUAUUGUAAUUCUAAAUUAUUAAUAGGGACAAAAUGAUCAUGAAAAAUGUGUAUUUAAUGUUGGUUCAUUUCCCCAAACUUUCCCAUGAGGAGGGAAAAAAAAAACCCAAGUUGGGAAGAUGACUUUAUUUUCCCCUUUACUUUUCCAUGAGCUAGACAACGAUUUCCCAUGCUUGGACUUACCAAACAUGAGAAAGUAAUUGAUUUUCUAUUCCCAAGUCUCCUUUCCCAUGAACAAAACGGGGCCCAUAUGGUUUGAAACAGUCCCCACGUGCAUAGCUCAGACAAUUCACUUUGGCAAUGAGGAACUAUUGGUUCAAGUAGAGAAAUUCAAAUCAUACUUUGAUCUUGAAACAUCAGAAAGGAAACGUAACAACUUUAAUAAUCUAUGUUGAUAAUAUGAUUAUUACUAGGAAUGAUGAACGAGAAAUAUCUUGAAUGCAAGACUAUUUAGCUAUUGAAUUUGAGAUGAAGAAUCUAGGUGGACUCAAGUAUUUCUUGGGGAUUGAGGUGGCCGAAUCAAAGCAAGGCAUAUUUCUAUCUCAAAGGAACUACGUCUUCGACUUGUUGACAGACAUAUGAAUGCUAUAUUGCAAACUUGUAGACACUCCUACUAUUCAGAAUCAUCAUCUUGGAGAAUACCCGGAACAAGUUCCAAGUAACAAGGAAAGAUACCAAAGGUUAGUGGGAAGAUUGAUCUAUUUGUCACAUACUCACCCAGACAUCGCUCAUGCGGUGAGCAGAGUUAGUCAAUUUAUGCAUUUUCCAAGUGAAGACCACAUGAUUGCAGUUCUCCAAAUACUUAGAUAUUUGAAGUCUGCACCCGGAAAAGGACUUAUGUUCUUAAAACAUGGUCAUCUGAAUAUUGAUAGUUACACAGAUGCAGAUUGAGAAAGAAGUAUAACGAAUAGGAAAUCCACAUCCGGUUACUUCACAUUCGUGGGAGGUAAUUUGGUUAUAUAGAGGAGUAAGAAACAGAAGGUGGUCGUCUUCUCCAAUGCAGAAGUAGAGUUUAGAGGUAAGACCAAAGGAAUUUGCGAACUCAUAUGGUUAAAGAAGUUGCUUACUGAACUUGGGUAUCGACAUAUGUCUGCAAUGAAUCUCUUUUGUGACAACAAAGCUGUAAUAGCUAUUGCACAGAAUCCAGUUCAACAUGAUUGCGCCAAACAUGUUAAGGUGGAUUGACACUAUAUCAAAGAGAAGCUUGAAGCUAAAGUGAUUCAGUUUCCGUGCGUAAAGUCCGAUGAUCAAUUGAUAGAUAUUUUGACAAAUGCAAUUUCCAGUAAAGCGUUCCACAAUUCACUGAAUUAGUUGGACAUUGGCGACAUCUAUGUACUAACGUGAGGGGGAGUAUUGAUGUGACUUGUGGACCCUCCGUUACUUUCCUUACACGCCAAGGAUUCCUAUAUUCAAUGUAAUUGAUUUAUUUUAAUUCAUGAUUUUCUAUUGUAAAUAGAAUUAUGAGUUAUUAUUUUGCUUGACCUACAAGGGUUUAUUGUAGUAUAAAUAUAACCUCCCAAAAGAAGAAUACACAGAAAAUUCCCACAAACAAUAUUCUCUUAUAAAUGUUAUAUUUUAACAGUUUAAACUAUUACUUAUAUUAAAAAUAAAAAUAAAUAAAAACACCGACUCCAAAUUCUCGAUUCUUACAUUGAACGUGUGCAUAAAGAUUUUAAAGUGCAAAAAACAAAGUGUCCAUCAAAAAAGAAAGACCAGAUUUUAAGGUGCCAAUCAAAAAAAAGAGAAAAAAGUCAUGAAGUGAGCAGUAGUAUUUCUGUGAAACUAAUAAGUUGUCUUCUCAAUCAACAAGUGUAAUAAUUAAACCCAACUCAAAAGAAAAAAAAAAAAAACAAGAGGGAGCAACUGACAAGACAGUGGUAUUUGCGAGUGUUAGUGACACCUUUUGAGAUUGGUUGGGGGUUGUCACUUUUCUGUAGCCAAAAGUGACACAUGACGCAGCCUUUGUUGAAGAAAAAAAAGCGGCUUUGGGCCAUCACCAUGUACUGCUUUCUUUGACUAUUGCCCUUUCUACAAGGGAAUGGGAUUUAGCACACCACAAAAAUAUGUCACAAACUCUCAAUUGAACUUCCACCGCCAUAUAAUUUUCUUGUUUUCUUAAAAAAAAAAUCUUUUUUUUAACGACAACACUUGGUGGUGGGCUAUGCCUAUAUGUUUUGCACGUGAAUAUAUAUAUAUAUAUAGGCGACAAGUAUCCUCCCAACUUUACCUAACAAAAGUACUUGUGUUUGUAAAUUUUGAAAAAGAGUUUCAGUCAACAGUGUAACGAAUUUGACGGAAGGGAUAUGAAGCUGGAAAUUUCAAUUUUUGGGCUCUGUGGAUCGAGUUCUUUGGGCUUGGAAUGAGUUGAGGAUGUAGUCUAAGUGGCAAAGCCUCCGUGAAAACUCAAGGAAUUUAACGCACACAACUGAAAUACUAUGGACUUGGGCUUAGUUUAUUUCUAUUUUUCUAACUUUUAAUUUUUAAUUUUUUUUGUAUUUGAAUUAUGAAUUUUAAUGUAUAAUUUACAUAAUUUUUUAUUCAUUAUGUGUUAGUAAGUGAAGGAGAAGUCAACAAUUUGAAGGGAAUAGUUCCAAUACUCAUUCCAUGUAUGGGGUCUAGCCUAUUGAAAAGCGCCUUACAGACUAGUAGUCUCAAGUUCGAGCCUUUAUGGCACUUUGAUAGGGUGGAAACCCCCUCUUUAUAGUUCCUCAUAGUUCUUUAGAGUUGUUGAAUCAGAUAGAAGAUUGGGAUGUUAUACCAUCGACUUUAAGGGCUCCCAUGGCCAAUGACGGACCUACAGAGGAGGAAGGAAGUGCAGAUGCACCUCCCGUCGCAGGGAAAAACUAUGGAGGUACUGGAUUUGCCCCUUUGCUCUUUGGCUUUUAAAAAGGUGCUAUCAAGGCGCACCUCAUGGAGUGCGUCGAUCUGAGGCCUCUUGAAAUCGGGCUCCAUUAGUUUGGCACGUAACACGAUUGAGGCACGUGCAGUGAUGCAGAAGGAGUUGUAGAGGCGUGUUGUUUAGGGAGACUCUGGUUCACGAAUGAAGAAGACAACCCUUUUUUCAAGUUUCACAAACGACGUCGUACUUAGGAUUUAGGUUCAAUGAAACGCGUGUUUCAAUGAAGUUGUUUAAAAAUCAAACUCUUCGGUGUUGGUGCAACCUAAAUAACAGCUGUUUCAAAAUUCAUUAUUUUGCUUCAAUUACUUGGUUAUUAUAAUAAAUAUUUUAUUAUAAUCUCACGCUUCCAAUUUGAGAAAGCUCAUUUGUCCAAAAAAAUAAAACAAAGAAGAAUCCUUGGACGACGCUCUCACAUCACAAUUUGAAUAUUAGAGUUUUUGUUUAAUUAGGACUUGAUUGACACAACUUGUUUAUUGAUCUAAUCUUUUUACUAUGGUAAUAUGUUAAUAUUAUUAUUAUUUUUGUAUUACCAUGCUAAUUAACUCUAAAAUUAUCUAAGGGUCUAGUUCAUUUCAAAGUAUGUUUUUUAUUCAGUCCUUGGACAGUACCAAAAUCAUUAUUGCCCCUCUCCUGAAAAAUUCCUGGAUCCACCACUGCCCAUGGCUCUUUGAGAAAAUUAUAUGAAGCAAAAGAUCUCAAAUUAAUAUAUGUGCAUUAAGAUUAGAAUAAAUGUAGGGCUAAGAGAGUGAAAUUAUGGCAAUAAAAGAGAAUCAAAUCUUAAUUUUUGUUUUUUGGGUCUGAAUCUUUCUUUAGCCUGUUUUGCAUGUUUUUAAUUACAAUUGGUGAUGUCUUAUCUGAGUACUGUCCAGAUCAUUAUGAAUUUCUUCUCCACCGAAACAUCAAUUCUAAUCCAUCCUUUUUUCUUCUUCCUCUUAUUGAUAAUCCAAUCACAUCUAUUCAAACUGAUUCAAAAUAAGUAAACCACAUUUCCAAUGAAGCUUGAGCUAGACACCUCAGUUUCAAAAGAAAGUUUUCUGAACAGAGAUUUGACCCAAAACACCUCAACAACAAAAGUAUGCAUCCCCAGGAAUAUUAUUGCAAAUGAGACAGCAAGUCAAAACCAAUGAGCCCACAAGGCUCAAGCUAAGCUGAUUCACCAUGGAAUUCAUAUUGUCUCACCCGCUCUAGACCACUAAAGUUUGUCCACCUUCCAAUCAAGCUAAUUUGAACGACAAUAAUUUAUAUAAAAUCAAAAAUGAAAAAGUUACAAGCUCAAACCAAAUUGUAUCCAUGACUUCAAACAUAAUCAUGAGAAACAAAGUAGUUCCCUUUUCUGAAGGUUUGUAAGCUUAAGGGUCUUCAGGUUCUUCAUCCUUGUCUUCUGCAUCGUCCCACCACGAAACAGGGUCCAAACCAUCAAAAUCAAUUGACCCCUGCAAAAUCGGAAACUUAAUUGGAGGCUCAUAGAAUUCAUUAGAAAUCUACUUGUGAAAAGUGAACCCUCAUUUAAUUUGAACAAAGAUUUGACAUAAUGUAACAAAGGAAUUAGAGUUACUAUAUAUGAACAAAGGAAUAGCAUAUUUUAAAGAGAACAAAAGUUUCACAAAGCAGCAUUUUUUCAAUAGUUCAUUGCCUUUGGAGAAUUGUAGAGAACUAGAGAUCAAGUGAUGCUACAGCUAGAUGCAACAACUCAUAUGAUAAGGUUCAAAGCAUGAACUUAGUGUAACCACCGUAGGGGCAAAUGGUUUUGAGUCUUCUGGCUGCUCAAUUAGAAUCGGAGAAUAGUUCACACUGUGAGCUUGGAAUUUUAUCUGGCCUCUUGGAACUAAAAGUUAGUAUACACUUAGGCACCAUAAAUUUGAGUGUGUAUGGAUAAUCAAACAAUAACACGAACCUGAUCCAUCCCAUCAAUAACAAGUUCUGCAUCUGAAUCAGGACACUUCCACGUCCACAUGACUCUGUCCCUGUAAUCCUCAGCGAAUAUAAUGAAUGACAUAUUUGAGGGUAAAUAAACAAGAUAUCAUGCAGGAUUAUGCAUAUAAAGCUCUAUAUGUACUUCUAUCAAAGCAGACAUGGAAGGGUCACCUCUUUUGUGUGUCAGGCUCGGAGUGGGAUGGAAAAGGCAAAAGAUGAAUAGGUACAUAAAUAUCAUCAAAAAAUUCAAGGGACACUGCCAAUUAGAGUGAGAAUUGCUUGCACCGAAGAGAAACUAAGAAGGAAAAACUAAAUGAGACCUAGAACUAAGCUACAUUCAGUUCAUCUCAGUAGCAUACAUACGAUGUAAACCAUUUGCAGCAAAUAUCUCUCCCACAAAUGGACGAAACAUAAUCAGUGUGAACUCCACUUUCCAAUUAUUAUCGCAUGAUUGUCAACUUCUUGUAUGAGUUAGGAGUCCGGAAGCACAACAUGCUAAGUGUUGUAAAAGGUAAAAAAGAAAACAAGAAACUUUAGAAAGGAAGAAAAACAUUGCAUAGGUAAUCAGCUCUGCAAAUUAGAUCUUAAUUUAAGCUGACAAUCUUAAUAUAGUCUAAAUGCCUAACCGACACCCAUUCAGUGUGAACAACAAAUAAUCAGCCUAUCUCAGUGAUACUCACUUCUUAAGCUGGUGAGUGGAUAUUGACAACUCUAAACUCCUGCAAAUAGAAUCAAAAGCAUGUUUUAGAGCUUUCAAGAAUACUUGGACAGCUCAACCCCUUCAAGGUAAUUAGGCACUUCAAUUUCAUAAAGAAGAAGAAGAAGACAGGCCCUUGUUGUCAGUUUGGUCACCCAAAGGGAAUGAGGUUGUUGAUGCAAAAAAGUGGUUUGGCAUUUUUUGGCUCAACUUAGUGAUGUCUGGGCCUUCGGAACGCUCUGGGCCUUGGUAAAGUGAUUGCUCUGCUAAAUGAGAAAACGCUCGGUAAGACCUAGGGCACCGGUGUUGUACCGGCCGACGACUCUCCGAUGCUUGAGUAAGUAUGAAUUUAGUAAUAAUCUAGAAAGAGCGAUGGCUUAGUAUGCUGAAGGUUCUAGUUACCUCCAUUUUGGGACUUGUGCCCCUUUUUACAAGUCUUGGGAGGUGUGAAUGUUGUGUAGAAUUUCAAUGUGGGACUGUAGACAUUCGCUGUGGGUGCUCCACGUGGUUAGGGGAUGCAUUCGUCCUGACCUUGCCAUCGGCAGCCUAGGGUGCCGAAGGCUACCUUGCUAAUGCUCACUUUUGUCCACGUGUCUUGCCCUUAUUGGUCCAUUGAUUUUGGUAUAAACAGGAGUCCCCCAAGUUCCCAAUUGAGAGAGCUUCUUAGUUGGGUACUUGCUUUUAUCUUCUAUGCUUGUGGGUUGCUGUAGGCAUGACUGAUUUUUCGUUUGUUCGUACGGUGCCAUUCGAUGACCUUGUGGGGGCCGAAGAGCCUAGGCCUCUAUUGGAAGGUAUGGUCUCUUCAUACAACGCAUCCUCCAGGGUUCCCAAGGGUCACAAAGUCUCGUUGCGCCAUCCUUUUCCUUCUGAACGGCAUAGCUGGCUGUUGGUGUAUCCAUUCUGACAGUAUGAUUGUCGCUUGAGCUUUUGUAAGUGGCGUCCACAUUGGAAAGCGGAAUCGACUGCACGAGAUGACACUUGUCUUUUGGGCCCAGCGUGCAGACUGCCCUCGUAUGUGAUUGGUGCCAUGUGUUUUCAAGUGUGCACGCAGGAUAGGGCCAUUAUGACGCUGGUUGGUUUUUUUUUAGGUGUACCGGUUGAUUCUCCUCUCUAUAAAUAGGAGUGACUCCGGAGUCACUUGCGCUAUGAGAGCGAUUCGAGAGCUUUGAACAAAGGCGAUUUUCGACGAGUGUCUUCGGCAGUUCAGGCGAUUUUCGGCAAACUUCCACCACCGUAGAAACAAGGUAUUUUGGCUUUUCAUUUCUUUUUCUGAUCAAAUGCACUUCCACUACUACAAAAAGUGAAAAAGACGACCAUAAAAAAACGACGGUUUAACAAAAAACCGUCGUUGUGUUUGAAAAGACGACGGUGUCAUAAAACCGCUGUGUAUGAGUAACUUAAACACCUAAAAAAUGACUCACUGAAUUAAAAAAGCGUCGUCUUAUUGAAAAGGUUUUCCUCAGAGGUAAACUCUUAGCCCAAAAACAACGGCAGAAGUUAUGAAUCCAUCGACGUAGAAAGUAAAGACGACGGUGUGCAACAACAACCGCCAUUUUUACUUCGUAAUAAACACGACCAAGUAUUCGUAUUUGGCACUGUAUAAUUUCAAAAAAAUCAACGUUGGUAUAUUACAAAAUACCGCCAUAUUAAAUCAAUGUACAACGAUGGUAAAGAUAAAUUUAUCGACUUGCUAUUUUGUAUUGUACUAUGACGGUAUCUAUAAAUCUAACCAUGUCGGUUUGUUCAAUUAACGCCGUAUAAUAAAAUUUACCACGUCAUGAAGUUAAAAUUACCGUCGUAUUUAUUCACUUUAUACGGCUAACCUUAUAACUAAACCGUCGUCUUAAUAUUAAUUUUUUUUUAUGAUUUAUUUCUUGGUUUUUGGUAGCCUACGAUGGUAGAUCAACAUAAUGAUAAGAAUUGAGAAUAGCCACAAUGGUUUAUAUAGAAAACCACUGACAUAAUCAGAUUAUUCUGAGAUCCCAAGGUAUAUGAAAUCUUACCAGAGGGAACUCUGUUCCUCAUCAUAAUCGGAAUACCAAUGUGAGGGAGAGACAAUAUUUGAGACGUUGAUGAUGUGUGUGUCUUUGAGAUACACAAAGGCACAUACACAUCAACAUCCAAAAAUUUGCCUCUAAAAUUUGACGACAGAAACACAUUAAAAUCCAUCAAAUUUGCCUCUGAAAUGUGAGAGAAAGACAAUAUUUUAGAAGUUGAUGAUGUGUGUGUCUUUGUGUUUUUGAGAUACACAAAGGUACACACACAUCAACAUCCAAAAAAUUUGCCCCUAAAAAUUGACGACAGCAGCCACAGAUUUACAUUCAGAAAGACAGUUUUUUAGAAGUUGAUGAUGUGUGUGUAUUUGUGUCUUUCAGAUACACAAAUGCACACACACAUCAACAUCCAAACUAUUGCCUCCAAAGAGGUGAGACAGAGCCAAUGUCAAGAAGAAGUUGGAACUCUAAUUGAAAACUGAACUGAAAGAACGCGUGAAAGAAACCCAAUUUAUAAAAAAAAUCUUCACAUCCACAUCAGUAUAUUACACUUACCGACGUGUAACUAAAGUAAUCUACGUAGAAGUCGUAUAAAACAGAUACCCACGUCGGUCCGUAACUAAAGGCAAUGAUGUUAAUACACACAACUUCGGUUACUCAUAAAAAACCAACAUGGUAACUUGUAAUAUCACUUCUUCAAAAGUAAACUUUUGACAUGUAGCGCCCAACUAACCAUGUCAUUUUUGGAAUACAAAAAGUCAAAUGGCUUUAUUACUAACCACGUUUUUUUCUAUUAUUUUAUUGUCGUGGUAAAUACAUAUUAGGGCGGUUUUUGUCACUACUGUCGUCGUAUUUAUCUUUGGGACACUAUAUAAACUUUUUGGUCACCUGACCUAAACUUUUACAUUCUCUCUAAAAUUAUCAGUUUUCUCUCAGUUUCCCUCUCAUUUUUGAAAAGCUGCGUGUUUGAUUCUCAGUUUCCCUAUCUUUUAUGUUCAUCCUCGUCUUCGUCUCCAAAACUCCAAAAUUUGAUUCCGAAGAAAACUUUCUAAGGAUUUUCUCACUCCUUUUUUUUUUUUUUUUCCAGUUUCCCUAUUAUUUGAAGUUUUUUUUUUUAAAGAACGAGUCCCACUGACGUUUGAAACAAGACUUAGGUUUGAAAAGGUGAAAUCUUUCAUUGUUCCCACUCACAGGUCAUGUGAGAAUGACGGGUUUUUCUCGUAUUUGACGUUUUUAUUGACACACCACGACGGUAAUUAAAUUCAUGCCAAUAGCACGGCUGUUCAUAAUAACCGACAUGGUUUGUUAAUAAAUACGACAUUUGAAGGAGAAAAACCAUUGUCUGAUUUGAAACGAACGUGGGAGAGAGAAAUCUGGGCGAUUUUUUUUAUUUGUGAACUUAUAAUACGAUGACGGUUUUAUUUAAUUCCCGUCCUGUUACGUUGAUGACCACGACGUAUUUGCACAUCCAAGUUUCUAUAGAUGAGCACGACGUUUUUUUUUUUUGCCGUCGUACGAACUUUCAUUUUACGUUUGGUUUUUAUCUAACCGUCGUUGUUUUUCUUGCAGUUUGUAUUUCUCUCUAAACAUGGUUUCAAAAUCUCAAAGUAAGAAGGCUUAAGAGUCAAAAGGUCAAGGCCAGGACAUUGCAGUUUCAAAGGCACAAAUGGGUGAAGCCAAAUCAGUUUCAAGCAAUCCCGCAAAGAAGAUGAGAUUUACUUCAUCCUCCGAGAAAGACCCAAGCUCUGCGACAUUUGAUGAAGAGACAAAAUUGACUCGCGGUAUCAACACAAUAAGCCGUGUUGUGAAGAGGAAAAUCCAGAAGAUUAAGCCUAUGGUUUAGUACAAUAAAAGUGGCAGACCACAUGGCAAUGCUGCUAUUGAGAUGCAGAGUUACAUUGGUGUUUUGGCAUGCACUAGAGUCCCUCUUGUGGACAAGAAAUGGACUCAAUUACCCAAGGACCCGAAGGAGCAGAUUUGGGAAGCUGUUCACAUGGCUCAUGUUGUUAGGGAAGGGGGCAAGAAGAUGGUGCUGUCUUCUGCCGCAAAAAAUGGAAGGAUUUUAAGUCUACCUUAACUAGGCAGUUUCUCCUUCCAUUCAGAAAUGAGAAGGAGAAGUUAAAAGAGCCCCCUUAGAUUUAUAACUUCAUAGAGAAAUCGCAAUGGGAUGCCUUUGUAGCUUCAAGGUUAUCCCUAGAUUUUGAGGCUGUGCAUUCUGAGCAGUAGUCCCCCAAGUUCGCGGUAAGAAGGUACUUCUUGCUUGGGGAUUUGUAAUUUUAAGUGCACUGGCCGAGCAACAACGUAGUUUAUCUUCCAGGGCAUAUAGUGCACUACCCACAGUCCCCCAAGUCCCUGGGUAAGAAGGACAUUGGAGGGAGGGAACUUGCAACAAAAAGCCAAGGGGUUUGCAAGUCCCCAUUUUGUUAUGCAAGGGUGCCGAAGGGCAUCAUAGUACACUGAAGUACGGGGGUGCCGAAGAUACAAGACUUGCAUGUUGCAGACAAGGUGUUGAAGGGAACGUAGGUGCCGAAGGCAUAAGACUUGCAUGUCGUAACGUAGGGCUCAUCAAUGGGCCCGGUCAAGCUAGCCCUGCCCAACUUUAAUGGGCUUGGGCCGGGCUUUAAAGAGGAGAGAGAAAAUAUCGGGCCAGAUUUUUUUAGAAAAUUCAAAGCCCAAGCCCAACCCAUAGGCCGGGCUUGAGAAAGCCCAUCGGGUCGGGCCAGGCUAAGCCCAACGGGCCAGGCCGAAACGGGCCUACUUCAUUCGAAAAAAAUCAUAAACUUAAUCAUAAGGGCAUUUUAGUCCAAAUUUGAGAUUAAACUCACUUAAUUCCAAUAUUUUCACAUCAAACCAAAUUUAUAAAACACCCAAUAAAGUCACACAACUUAAUAAGAUUUUCCACAAAAAUAAUAAAACCAAGUACUAUUUUUGAGGUUAUUACAUAAUUAGACCGUAAUACUUUUUAAGAAAUAAUUUUAAAAAAUAAUAAGUAUCAAAUUUUUUAUUUAUUUAAAGAACGGUAUGAAUAAAUAUGCAAAUGUUUGGUGAUGUGUUUAAGAAAAGUAUUAUUAUAUUUGGUGGUACGAUUAUAUUUCAUGAUAUGAUUAUAUUUGGUGAUAUGAUAUGUUGUUCAUCUUAUUUAUAUAUAUAUAAUUUUUGUAUUAAUAAUUGACACAAAUUAAUGUGCUAAUCGUCAAAUUAUAAACUAGGAAUGAGUAAAGAAAAGUAAAUGAAAUGAAACAAAUUGUAUAUGUGAUUUAAGUGAUAUAAUCAUAAUCUUAAACUCUUAUUUAUACAUAAUUGUAUAUGUAUGCGGGCCUAACAGGCCGGGCUUUUGUGGGCGGGCCGGGCUUCCUUGGGCUUAAUUGGGCCUGGCCUAUGGGUCAGGCUGGGCUUCAGACACCCAAGCCCAAGCUUAGCCCAGCCCAAGAUCGGCCGGGCCGACUUUUUUUCAAUGGACCGGGCCGGCCCCCAUCGGCCCAUGACCCCGCGGGCCAAAUGAUGAGGCCUAUAGUAAGGCAAUGUGCCUAGGCACGAGGAUGCAGAAGGUGUAAAACUUGCAUGUCGCAAAGCGAUGUGCCUAGGCAUGUGGGUGCAGAAGGUGACAUCAAGCUUGCAUGUCGCAGGCCGAUGUACCUAGGCACGGGGUGCCCAAAGGCAAAUGGAUGCCAAAGGUGACACAAAGCUUGCAUAUUGCCAGGCAAUGUGGCUAGGGACGGGGGUGCUGUAGGAAAAGGGGAUGCCGAAGGCGACACACAGUUUGCAUGUUGCAAGGCCAUGUGGCUAGGCACGGGGUGCCGAAGGUAAAGGGGAUACCGAAGGCACAAAGCUUGCAUGUCGCAGGGCGAUGUGGCUAGGCAUGGGGGUGCUGAAGGUAAAGGGGAUGCCGAAGGCGACACAAAGUUUGCAUGUUGCAAGGCAAUAUGGCUAGAUAAAGGGGUGCUGAAGGAAAAAGGGAUGCCGAAGCACGAAGCUUGCAUGUCGCAGGGCGAUAUGCCUAGGCACGGGGGUGUCAAAGGUAAAGGGAUGCUGAAGGCGACACAAAGCUUGCAUGUUGCAAGACAAUAUGGCUAGGCACUGGGGUGCCAAAGGCAAAAGGAAUGCACAAAGAACUAAUCUUGCAUGUCGCAAGGUAAUGUGCUUAAGCACGAGGGUGCCGAAGGAGAAGCGGGUCGUGCAAGCAUCUCCUGCAUGAUAGGAAUGGUGCUUGCCGAUCGGCAGGGGUGUAAUGUGCUUAGACACGAGGGUGCCGAAGGCAAAGAGGGUUGCCGAAGGCACAAAGCUUGCAUGUCGCAGGGCGAUGUGCCUAGGCAUAGGGGUGCUGAAGGCGACACAAAGCUUGCAUGUUGCAAGGCAAUGUGGUUAGGCACGGGGGUGCCAAAGUCAAAGGGGAUGCCGAAGGAAUAAAUCUUGUAUGUCGUAAGGUAAUGUGCUUAGGCAUUGGGGUGUUGAAGGAAAAUGGGAUUGCUGAAGGAGAAGCGGGUCGUGUGAGCAUCUCUCCUGCAUGGUAGGAACGGUGCUUGUCGAUCGACAUGGGUGUAAUGUGCUUAGGCACGAGGGUGCCAAAGGCAAAGAGGGUUGCCGAAGGCAUAAAACUUGCAUGUCGCAUGGCGAUGUGCCUAGGCACGGGGGUGCCAAAGGUGAAGGAAUGCCAAAAGUGACACAAAGCUUGCAUGUUGCAAAGCAAUGUGGCUAGGCACGGGGGUACCGAAGGCAAAGGGGAUUGCCGAAGGCACAAAGCUUACAUAGAAGAAAGGAGAAUCGACAAAGGCUUCUUGUGUCGAUUCCCACAGACGGUGCCAAACUGUUGAUGCUCUUUAUGGGAAGGUCAACUUAGGUAGAGGUGGAAUGGUGGAUGAUGUGUGAAGAUGUGGGCCUUCAAUAUAUGUGUGAAGGUUUCGAGCAAGCGAUAAAUAUACAGAAGACAAGAUAUACGUGGUUCACCCUUGAUGGAUGGGCUACGUCCACAGAGAAAUAUAUUCUCAUUAUGAUAAUGUUUGUUUACAUUUGUAUAAGGGGAUUAGACCUAAAGAUAAAGGGAAGAAGGCCCAAGGCCUAAGGUACAAAGCCCAAGAAUCCAAGACCCAAAACCAUUUUUUAAGAGGAGAGUAGUCUUCUUUUAUAGGUGAAUGAGAGUCUCCACCUCUCGUAGUCUUCCAAUGUGGGACUCUUGACAUUGCGCCUAGUUGUGACUUGUGGCAAGACUUCUUUGGUUAAGGUGAUGACCUCUUAAAGCAUGGCACGUGGCUGAUCUUGCUUAGCUAGUUGCUCGAUUAGUCAUGGUAUCGACAUGCUCAAUUCAGCUGAGGUAGAACAUUAGAAACCUUUGCAUUGGCCCAAAAGAAAUUAGCAUAUCCAUCAGCUAUACAUAACUCAAAUCCUAUUGUACAAGGUGAUAAAUACAAAAAGUUGACAAGGAAUGGAUUCUUAAGAAAGAAAAUUUUUAACCAUAGAGGGUAGCUAAUACCAAUGAAACUAUAUGUAAGGAACCAGUAACUACAACAAUUCCUAAACGAUCCCUGGUUCUUCCUCUGAGAAUCUGAUUUGCUGUAUUCAGGGAAGCUUGAAAAUGAAGCCUCUGUGGCCAACAUGAGUUUAUUUCCCAACUUGCUUAAGCAAAUUAACUAAUCCACAGACAAAUCUUGAUGUUAUGACGUUUCGUCAUGGAGAACAUCUAUUCCCAGUUCCAUGGAAGCUUGGAUCCAGCAAUUCCUUAACAAUGAGGUUGCAAUUGUCUGAGAUUUUGACCCAUCAAUGCUAGCUUCUGUCAAAACAGCAUCUUCGACAUUACCACCUAAAGAGAAGAGGUCGAAGUCUCUAUGAUGAAGGUAACAUUACAACCAGGAAGUACUGAAGAUAUAAUAAUCAUAGUAAUUGAGUACCGACUUUACCUGAAAGGCACUCCCUUGCAAAACCAAGAUGAUCUUUGUUGCUAUUGUUAGUUUCUAGAUUUACUGAGAGGAAAUAGAGUGGGAGAAUUGAAUACUUCAUUAAGUGAAAGAUGGCUGUUAAAUAGCCUUACAAAAACAGAAAAGAAACUUGUACGGCUCCAUGACCUACUGCAUGAUCACAUGACAAACAACUCCUAAAUUUAAGAGAUCUUCCUAAAGAAACAUUCAAACUCAGCUACUUCCCUAAAACAUAGGGUUAUUCCAACUAAACAGAAAUACUUUAAUAAAUAUUAAAUAACUUCACAUCCUCCCCUAAACUGAAAAGUAAUUGAACUUUCAGUUUAAACUCGAACUUAAACAAAUCCCAAGUGCUUCUCGCAUCCUUAUGUAAGCCUCCAACUUUAAUGGCCUAGUUAGAAUAUCAGCCACCUGCAUAUUUCUUGGACAGUGUUCUAGUUCAAUGACUUCAUCUCUCGCAAGAUCUCGAAGAAAAUGAAAUCUAACAUCAAUAUGCUUACUCCUCCCGUGCAUUACUGGAUUUUUUGAUAAUUUGAUGGUAGAACUAUUAUCACAAAUGAUCACAGUAGGCUUUUCCUAUUUAGAACACAAUUCUUCGAGUAUCCUUCUCAACCAAAUAGCUUGGCAUGCACACGAGGCUGCAACUAUGAAUUCAGCUUCUGUUGUAGAAAGAGUGACAAUAGGUUGUUUUCUCGAAGACCAAGCUACAACAGCUGAACUUAACAGAAAUACGUAUCCAGAUGUACUUUUCCUAUCAUUAAGAUCCCCAACAUAAUCAUUGUCGCUGAAUCCCAUCAGUUUUGCUCCAACUUUCCUCUUGUAAAAUAGACCAAGAUCAGUUGUUCCUUUCAAAUAGCGUAACACUCUCUUAGCUGCUUGAAAAUGAAGUUCAGUGGGUGAUUCCAUGUAUCUGCUAAUAAGGUUCACAGCAAACAUUGGAUCAGGCCUUGUAGUAGUUAGAUACAUUAAACUUCCCACUAUUUGCUUGAAGUAAGUGCUGUCAACUUUCUCUCCUCCCUCAUCCUUGAUGAGCUUUGUUUCUGGAACUAUGGGAUUUUGAACCGAAUUGUAGCCUUCCAUAUGAAAUCUUUUGAGAAUCUCCUCAGCACAUUUCUUUUGUCCAAUGAAAAUCCCAUUGUUUGACUUCUUCACUUCAAUUCAAAGGAAGUAGUGCAUUUUCCCCAAGUCUGUCAUCUCAAAUUCCUCCAUCAUGGACUUCUUGAAGUCUUUGAACAUAUCUGCUCCAUUUCCUGUGAAUAUUAGAUCAUCCACAUAAAGACACACAAUGAGAAUCUUCCCUUCUUUACCAAGUUUGACAAACAAGGUAUGCUCAUAAGGACACUUGAUAAAUCUAGUCUUCAAGAAAUGUGACUCUAUAUGACUAUACCAAGCUCUCGGAGCCUGUUUUAGUCCAUAUAGAGCCCUUUUUAGUUUGUAGACCUUCUGUUCUUUUCCUUUUUGCACAUAUCCAGGGGGUUGAUCAAUGUACACUUGUUCAUUGAGCUCUCCAUAUAAAAAGGCAGACUUCACGUCGAGUUGGUAAAUGGACUAAUCAUUAUGUGCAGCUAAAGAUAUAACCAAACGUAUGGUAUCAUGACGAACUACGAGAGCAAAUACUUCAGAAUAAUCAAUACCAUAUUUUUGAGUAUAUCCUUUAGCUACUAACCUGGCUUUGUGCUUGUCAAUCUCCCCAUUUUCUUUGAACUUAGUCUUGAAUAUCCACUUCACUCCAACUGUUUUUUCUCCUUUAGGCAAAUCAACCAACUUCCAUGUGUUGUUUCUUUCAAUCGUUUGUAUCUCCAGGUCCAUGGCUUUUCUCCAUUUUGAACUCUUUAUAGCAUCAUCAAAUGUGUUGGGAUCAUUGCCAGCAAACAAGGCAAAUUGAGCAAUAUUGUCAUCAUCUAAGAGCUCAUUACCAAUCACAUAAUCAGUCAUCCAACCAGGGGGUCUUUUCUGCCUUGGUAAAUUUGAGGAGACUUCAUUAAAUCUUGGCUCAAUAGGUUCAUCUUCACCUUCUUCAACAAUUUGCUCAGUUUCAGUCUCUUCAAGAUAAACACUAGCUUCCUUCCUAGGUUUGUCAUUCUAGUUCCAACCACUAGCUUCAUCAAACACCAUGUCUCUACUAAUUAUGAUUUUUUGAGUCUCUGGAUUGUAUAAUCUGUAGGCUUUUGAUUCAUUGCUGACUCCGAGCAUCACACAUUUUUUGCUCUUGUUAUCAAGCUUGGUUCUUAAAUUAUCUGAAAUAUGAGCAUAAGCCAGACAACCAAAUGUUCGAAAAUAGCUUACUUUAGGCUUCUUACCACUCCAUGCUUCCUCCGGUGUAACAUCCUUCAUAGCAUGAGUAGGACAUCUGUUUAGAAUGUGACAACUCUAGUUCACAGCUUCUGGCCAGAAUUCUUUUGGUACCUUCAUUCUCGCAAGCAUACUUCUUACCAUAUUCAUAAUGGUACGGUUCUUUCUCUCAGCCACACCAUUUUGUUGUGGUGAAUAAGUUGCUCUUAAUUGCCUGUGUAUGCAAUUUAUCUCACAAAAAUUAACAAAUUCAUUGGAAGUAAACUCUCCUCCUCUAUCUGUUUGAAAAGCCUUAAUAAACACACUAGUUUCUUUUUCAACAGAUGCUUUAAAUUUCUUGAAAGUCACUAAAGCUUCAGACUUUUCAGCAAGAAAGUAUGUCCAUGUUUUCCUACUAAAAUCAUCAGUAAAGGUUAUAAAAUACCUUUUGCUGCUGUUGGAGAUGGGGUUGAUUGGUCCACAUAUGUCAGAGUGCACCAAUUGCAGCACUUAUGUGGCUCUCCAGCUACUUCCCUUUGUAAAUGUUUCACGAUGUUGCUUUCCCACAUACAUUCCUCACAAACCGUUGAGGGAGCUUGCAAUAAAGGAAGUCCUUUCACCGUGUUCUUCUGUUGGAGUGCUUUGAGGCCGUUGAAACUCAAAUGCCCAAAUCUACAGUGCCACAGCCAUGAUUCCUCUUCAGUUGUGGAUUUGAAACACAUUUGUUUCUUAGCAUAUGCUUCUCUUUUGAGUAUGAACAUACGAUUCGAAGUCAUAUCAGCUUGAAUAAUCAAACCCUUGUCAGGAUGAUGUAUGUGACAAGAGUUCUUUUUAAUCAAGAUGACCAUUCCUUUCUCCUGCAGCUGAGCAAGACUAAUCAGAUUGUUCUUCAACUCUAGAACAUAAAAUACCUCAGUUAUGCAGUGCAUCACUCCAUUGACUUCAAUUCUUAUGUUUCCUUUUCCCAUGACACACAGACUGGAAUUGUUUCCAAGUUUCACAUUAUCCCUGAAUGAGUCAUCCAUCUUUGCAAAUAGCUACUUGUUUCCACUCAUAUGAUUGAUGCAGCCCGAGUCCAAGUACCACGUGUUGUAGUUCUGGUUAUUUCUUUCAUUAAUAGAUGCCAUCAGUAACAUCUCCUCCUCUGUCUCAGCCACAUUAGCCUUGUUCUCCUUUUCUUUUUGAGGACACUCAUAUUGGAAGUGUCCAAGUUCAUGGCAGUGGUAGCACUCCACAGUUGACUUAUCAAAUGGACCUUGACGGCCUCUCCCUCUUCCACGACCUCUGAAUCCGCCUCGACCUCUUCCUCUUCCUGAUGUGUAAUUCUCAUGACUAACCUUGAGAGCUUGCUCUUCAAUAUCAUGACAAGUCAUCCUUUGCUCAUGCACCAGCAGACUACUUUGCAAUUCAUCAAUUAAAAGUGUAUCAAUAUCUUUUGACUCUUCAAUCGAACAUACAACAUAGUCAUACUUAGAUGUCAUAUACCUGAGAAUCUUCUCAAUCACAGUGACAUCUUCCAUUCUAUCUCCAUGUAUCCUCAUUUUGUUUGCAACAGUCAAUGUUCGAGCAAAAUAGUCAGUGACUGUUUCUCCAUUCUUUGUUUGCAACAUCUUGAACUCUUUGCGAAGAGCUUGCAGUUGUGCACGUUUAAUUCUAGCCGUGCCUUGAUACUUUUUCUUCAAGGAAUCCCAAAUAUCCUUUGCCAUAUCCUUCUUCAAAAUUGUCUCCAAAAUGGCUCGAGCAAUGGCUUUAUACAAGUAAUUCUUGGCCUUCAAGUCUUUGAGCUUCUAAUCCUCUAAGGUUUUGAGUUGAGCUUCUGUCAACACCAUUCCUUCUGCAUAUGUUGUGAUUCCAUUCUCCACAAGACUCCAGUAUUUUUAGAUCUCAAAAAAUUCUCCAUCAACAUGCUCCAAUGAUCAUAGUGACCAUCGAAGCAUGGGAUUGAUGGUUGAACAAAGCUGCUUCCUUUGGUCGACAUUGAUACUUGCUACGACAAGAGUUGUUGCUUUCCUUUGCUCUUCAGGCCCCUGCAUAUUUUUAGCAUAAAAUUAUUCAUCUCGAGCAUGGUGGUAUGCUCGGAUUAAUUAUUUGUUAUCAUUUGAGUACAAAACCAAUUUUUACAUAUUAUGCAUAAUUCGGGUUCGAUAUAUUCGGACCAUCGGAUUUUGACGAAACUCAUAGGAUAGGUUAAUUGGAUUUUUAUGAACCUAUAGGAACUUUCAGAUUAUUAAUCGGAGGUUGUGGAUCCCAUGGGGGAUCGAGUUGACCAAUAUAAGAAUUUAAUCAUAUAUUUAAUCUCGAGUCUUUUCAGACCAUUCCAAUUGUUAGAACUGUAUUACAAUAACAUAUCAAUAUAACGCCAAAAAAAAUAUAUAUAUGACAACAAUACCAUAGUAAUACAACAGCAAUACCACUACAAUACAACCACAAUACAAUUGCAACAGCAAAUCAACAAUGCUACCUCACCAUGAUAUAAUCAUAACAAGUUCAUAGAAAAUCCCAAUACCAAAUGCAAGAAUCAAUCGACAAAGAACACACACAUUUGUUUUUUCAGACAAACAAAAUCAAUCCCAAUACUUCUACACAAAAUACAGACAAAAUCAAUCACAAUUCCAAUUUCAGUAAUCAAAUUCAAUUUAACAUCAAAACUUACAUAUUCCCAACAAUUCGUUUUCUGGAGAAGCUGUUCUUGAAGAGGGCAUGUAAACGCGGACUUCAAAAUCCCCCAAAAUUGGAGCAAAAUGCUCAAACAAUGGCCACCUAAUGCCAAGACAUGCUGUCAUAUUCAGAAAAGAUGGUUUUGUUUGGGUUUGUUUAGGUUGCAAAAGGGAUUCAAAGAGAGACGAAGUUGGGGUUUGGAUUUGGGUAGAGAAGAAAACAGAGAGGAAGAGGAAGAACUGGGUUUUGAGAUUAAAGCUGUGGGUUUUGUAGGUUGUUCUUGAUUUUCUUCUUCGUGUGAAGAGGCGUAGUUAGCUAGAUAGAGAGAGGAAGAGAGAACUAUGAGAUACAGUUGAGAGAAAGAGCCAAGAGAGAGCUGAGAGAGAAAACAAAAACUGACCAAAAGUGUUAAGUGGCCGAUAAGUACGUAUUUAUAGGUUAUAUUUGCAAAAUGUGUGGAUAAAGGUGGUAUUUUCAUAUAAAGUUUGGAAAGCAGUGGCAUUAAACGCUAUUUCCCAAAACAAAAGGCUUCGAAACCUAUUGCUACCACCCAAAAAAACGGAGAUGGGAAACAUAAUCCUACGAGUGAGUAAUCUUGUACGGUAAAUCUAAAGUUCAUCGGAAAAGUAAUUCAUCUUGAUAGGAAUAAACAAAAAAGAGAACAUAACAAACAAAAAAUGAGUAGACCUGGCAUUCGUGUCAUUUUUUUAGUGUUUGUAUCAUUUUUUUAGUGUUUGUAUCGUUUUCAUGUCAACCCGCUUUUCUUAACGGGUUGACACGACACGACACGGUAAAAAAACGGGUUGAAAAUGUCAAACACGAACACGAUCUGUUACAAUUCACGAAUCACACAAUACGACACAAUCAUCCUUUAAGAAUUAAAAUAAAUAAAUAAAUAAAACAAAAACAGAAAUUUUAAACAAUUAAAAAAUCAACCAGUGCAAAAUAAAAAUAAAAAAAUAAAAAUCAACACAGUCCAUAGACGAGCUCGAACAUGAGACUGGAGAUGCCCUCAAAGGUUUGGGCAGUGGAGAUGGUGGGAGUGGAGGAGGAAGAGUCAUUGGAGAAGGUGAGGGAAUGGGUGGGAUCGAUUGGUGAGGGAGGGAGACAAAGGGGGAGGUGGCUGGGAUGGCUCAUGGUGGUUGGGUGGUGUGGCGGCUACUUAAGACUCUCAAGUUGAGAGAAAAAGAAAUCUCAAAGGUUGCUGGGUUUUGAAGAGAGAGAGAGAGAGAGAGUAUUGAGAGAAUCGGGGGAAUGGGGGAGGAAGAGACAAAAGAGAAGAAAGAGAAGAAGGAAAAAAAAAGAAGAGAUAAAUUUACAAAAAAUGCCCCUGAGCUUAACGGGUUUACGGGUAUUUGAGAAUUGACACGACACGACAUGAUAGCUUAACGGGCGGCUAACAGGUCAACACGAUAUCAACACGACACGAUAACUCAGACCCUAAUACUGAAUUUUUCAUGUGAAUUUUUUUUGUGUUAACGAGUCGUGUACAAUAUUGCCACCUCUAAUAAUGAGGAUCAGAGGAGCUACCCUUGCUUGUUGAUAAGAUUUAUACUAUAAAUUUUAAAGUAGGAUUCAAGACAGGACCCAAAUUCCACUUUGGAAUCUGCGCCGAACCCUAUGAGUGUCCGACACCUGAUAGGUGCCAAACACACUUGACCAAAUUGCCCUUCUAACAAAUCCAAAAUUUCUUUAGGGUUUGACUUCUGCUGAACAUUCAGCAGAGUUUCCCCUGUAAAUUGCUCGUUCCCAACCUUUUUCACCGUACAAAACUCAAUUUAUAAAGCCACAAUUGUUCAGCAUGCACAAUGUUUGAAUUCAUGCAACCAAACAUGAAAUUUUUAUGGCCUUAGGCCUUACAGUAAGCCCUAGGGCAAUUUCAAAGCAACACUAAUCAUUUUAAUUUACAGGAAUAGUUCAAUUACAGUAGAAAUCCUACAUAGUGGAAAGGAUGAGUGGUGAGUGAAGACCGCCUUGUGGUGGUGCUCUAGUACACGACUACUGCCUGGGGGUGAAAACAUUGAAAAUGUGAGUUGAGGUGGUCCUGUAGGUACCGGCCUUGUGGCCGGAGGAGGUCGGACGAGGCGGCGGGAAGGCUAAACCCGAUCGGUUGUUACAGUCGGGGGAGGGGAGUCGUGUGCACAGAGAGAGAGAGAGAGAGAGAGAGAGAGAGAGAGAGAGAGAGAGAGAGAGAAGAGAAUCUGAUUUCUUUUAAAAAUCCCUUUUUGAAAUAUUUACGAUUGUGCCACUGGACUUUUUUUGAUCAUAACUUCUUCGUUAUAACUCCGACUUGAGCCCACUCCAUGUCUACGAUCUCAUCUCGACAUGCUUCAUGCAAAGGUACUGCUAAAAUCUCCAAAUUCUUUCCUGAACAAGAAGUCAACUUUUAAACCAUUAAAAUAUUCCCGGGGUAAAAUUACCUUUUACUUUAAUAAAUUAAUAAAUAAAUAUUAAUUUAGGAUCAGAUUAUUACAAUUCACGCAUUAAAUGAUUCGUUAUGGGUAAGUUAGGUGAACAAUGGUGAAGUCAUGAAUGAAAUUUGUUCCUUUUCUUCUUAUUCCCAAUUACUAAAGGGAUUUAGAUUUCCUUGUAAUUCAAGUAUAGAGCACAUGGUUUGAUGAAAUAUCAACCUGUUCUGCUGCCCCAUCAUCUUGGACACCAUAGCGUAGCUUCUCAUCAUUUGUUCCGUUCUUUUCAACUCCAGGACAAGACACAUGAUGGCUUUUUCUUCAAUAAAAUAUUUGAACGGGCUAACGAUUACUGUCAUUCUAAUCAUCUUUUCUCUCACACUCCUUCCUUCCAUUUCAGAAGCUAAUUCAAUGGUCGUAAAUAUUUGGGUCUAAUUUGGCACACCCAGUCCAGUAUCAAAAAGCCCAUGUCAAUUUUGGACAGCCGGCAACGCUCCUCUUAAACAUGGGCCAAAAUUACACACUCAGCCCAAUACUGGAGGCCCAGAAGGACAAGGCAAAAUCAGACCCACGCAGUAUGGACUAGAAUUGGAAUCGAGGGCGCCAAGUGAAAAAACCCAAACCCAAGUCAGAUUCUUACCAAAGCCCAGAUUUGAAGAAACCCAAAACAGUUUUUGUCAAAACUACCAGCUCUCCACCCAAACUGAAGAAUGGGUCAAAAUACCACUUUAAAAAGUGAAGGCACUCGACCCUGGAUUACAGAGGAACUCACAUGACUACAUAGCUUUGAAAAGUCAACAAUUUCAACUGGGUUGAUAAGGAGUUAAUAAAGGCAGGUAUAAAAGAAAGACAUCUCUGAAAUCUCUGCCACCAGAAGAUCAAAGUCCCUUUUGUAUAUUCAGAAAAAUUUAUGCUCCAAAGCAGGCACCAUUUUGAAGAGAUAAGCAGACUACGUUUUGGGAGAUAAGUAGGGUGCAGGGAGUUGUUCAUCUAGAAUAUCAAACUAACCAUCACAGUUUGAGCUCUUACAAAGAGCAGUUAAAUUCAAAGAAGGGUUAGGUUUUUUUUCAAAGAAAAACAGGGAAGUGACUGCCUUAGGAACGAACUGAUGAUGGUCUACUUGCCUUUUCUUUGACAUUUGAAAAUAAAAGAUCUUGUUUUUUAGAAAAUCUGCAGCCCAUUUUAGAAAUUAAAAAUCCCACUCCAGCAUUUCCUAUAAAUAUGAGAGAAGGUGAACAGAGCAAAGGACAACCAAAAAAUCAAUCAAAGACAAAAAUUCAAAAUGAUCACUUGAUCUCAAAGAACCUUCAAACAAACUGAAGCAACUGAAAGCUCAUUGAACCACAAGAAAGAAGCCAGCUACAAAUCAAAACUUCUAGUUUCAGACUUAGACAAAUAAGUCAAUCAAAACGAGAUUUCUCUCGUUACAAAUGUGGUUCAGCAAAAGCCAAAUCAAGCAGAGUCUGGGUUUUUAUAAAUAUGAAAACCUCAACAAAUUUAUGGAGAGCCCUGAUCAAGCAGAAUAGGUACCACAGUGCAAUUCUAGCUCAGUAAUCCUUAAGUCCAGCCACUUCUGCCCCUUUCAGAUUGAAGAGGCCGCAAUUCUGCCUGUUCAAAUAGCCUUCCAUGGCUUGAAAUAGAUUAAAACUCUACCAAACUCGAACGUUGGUAUCGAUUUACAGCUGAAACUUAGCAGUUGAAGUUGUUGAUAGUCUAGUCCAGUACAAGCAUACCUAGUCCAGCCAGGAUCAGAAGCUUCUAUCCAGGCAGAAAUGGAAGCCCAACCUUCUUUUUGUCUUUCUAGAGUUGGUUUUUCCCAUUUGAGUUUUGUAAAAGGUAGUUUCGCCUAAAAACAGUUCACUUUUUUACCAUUUAUUCUGGCCAGAACAACCAAUCUUGUACUGUGAAAAAUUGUGAAGACCUCACCAGUCUGAAGCAAGAAAAGAACUUACAUGGGAGAUAUUCCUCACCCAAAUUCACAAUCGCUUGUUUAGAAAUCAGUAACUUGAGGCGCAAGUUAUCUAUUUUUAAGAAGUCUGUUAGGAUUUUUCAUUGCUAGCAGUGGCACGCGCGCACACUACAGAAAGUUUACUUGUUGACCAAUCAAUGGGUUUCAAGGCAAUGGGGAACUUUGCCCUACCAUCACUGGAACAAAUAUAAAACGGGUGAACAAUUUGGCACGCCCAGUGGGACUUCUCAGUAUACAUACUCCUAGAGAAAUCUUCUAAAGUAUAUGAAUAUUGGAAGUUCUAGCCAGAACUCACGCUGCGCCAUGGAAAGAGAUCAAGCUGCUUUCCGAGAAGGACUAGAGUUAGAAGAAAGUGAUGCUAGGCAGUCAGCCCAUGGUAGCACCGGGAGUAGAUACAGGAAGCCGUGUUCCGACAGGAGGCCGCAACACAAAGGAGCCAGGAUACCUUGAACAACAUGACAACCGUGAUGCAAUGUAAGUUAAUAGGCAGUUCAGGAAGGACUGUGAGGCUGCCAUGGCUAGAAUUCCAAACCCAGAUGUUGCGGUUCAACAGCUAGACCUCCAUUAUGGACAUCCACCAGGACUGGCAUGGCCAUACCAAGAGAACCUUCUCAUUGCACAGAUAGCUGGAAUACCAGGGCAUGGAGAAAUCCAAGCUGAACAGAGGGGAUGAGGCCUUCCCGUCCAAGAGCAUGAGGUUCCGGUUCUGCCAGAAGGCCCUGCACCAGUCCAGGCCCCCUAGAAUCAACUAGAACCUCCACCUAUUCCACAACAUGUGGCCCCACGUGAUCAGCACCUAGCACUUCUGCCUGAGGCACCUGUUGUGUUACCCUACAGACCCAGAAGGAUGGACCACAAUCCAGUCCCUCCAAGAGGCAGAAGAGAUAGAAGAGGAAGAGGGGGAAUUAACCCCUUUGCCAACAAUGAUAGGAACAUACCAGGGGCAAACUAGAGGAAUCAUCUAGAUUUCAAAGAAGAGUAAGAACACAGGGAGGAAGUUCUGCCCAAGCCAUACAAAAUAGAGCACAGGAUUGACCACAUCCAGCCAGAACAUGGGCGAAAUCCGCACCCUAUCAAUGCUUUGAAUGACAUGGGGGCACUUUAGAGAAUGAUCAGGGAGAUGAUGGAGCCCGAAGCCAGAAGAGGAGAGAAAGGCCCACCUACAGAAAACCAUAUCCAGCUUACAUUGAUCAGAUACUCUAUCCCUGGGAUUUAAGGUACCAAACUUCACCUUGUUCAACGGAGAAGAUCCCCAUGCUUCAUCAGUUGAGCAUAUAGGCAGAUUCUCUAUUCAGUGCAUAGCCAUAGAAAAUAACCCUCUGUUAAAACUGAGGCUUUUUGGAAAUUCUUUCUCUGGACAAGCCUUCACCUGGUAUUCUAGCCUACCAGCCAAUUCUGUUCGAACCUGGGAACAAAUGGAAAAUGUUUUCUAUGGUAACUAUUUCAGGAUCCAGUUAGAAGUCACCAUCAGUGAUCUUGCUGCCCUCAAACAGAGUGAAGAUGAGCCUCCUCAGGACUUCAUAACCAGAUUCAGAAAGCUCAAGAAGAAAUGCCGAAUCCCUAUGGAAGAAAGGCACUUAAUUCAGAUGGCUCAAACCGCCCUUAAAAUCUCUCUGAGAAAAAGAUUUGAUGGGAUGCUGUUUGGACAUCUGGCAGAACUGGCGGACAAAGCAUCUAAAUAUGAGGAGCUGCUCAGGAAAGAACAACAGAAGAGGAACUCUUCCAAAGGCACAUACUACAAAACCUCUUCUUCUUCAGUACAUAAGGUUGAGGUAGAAUUAGAAGAACACACAGAAAGCUCGGAGGAAAGAGAAAUUGCAGUGGUAAAAUGGCAAAGUUGAAACAUCCCAUCAGUUGCAAGGCUCUUGCAAAGCCACCAAAGGACCAGAAGCCUCCACCAUUCACAGGAGAGUUUGUUCCAAACAAACCAACACAGAACAAGGUCUAUUCUUUCGAUCUAACCAAGGUUAAUGUUUGGUUUGAUGAGAUGCUGCUGCAGAAGGCAAUAGAGACAACCCACAGUUGCCUAAGCCAGAGGAACUCAAGGGCAGACAAUAUUGCAGGUGGCACAACUCAUGGAACCAUUCCACCAAUAGCUGUGUUGUUUUCAGAGAUGUCAUACAAUGAAUAACAGCAAGAAGGCUAAAACUGGGGAGAAACCUCCCUCAGUUACAACAGAUCUUUUUCCCCAACCUCAAGUCAACAUGGUCAACUUAAAUUGGCUAGAAUAGAAGAGAGACAAACCAGCAACAGAGGCUAGCUCUAGCAGAGGCAGAAGAGUCACAAGGGAGACUAAUCAAAGGCCAAAGGCAACCAUCUCGGCUGAGGUAGUGCUGUGUAGCAAGUGCAAGUGUGAAAGUGAGUUAGAAGUGACUCUGAACAGGCAGAGUAAGUCCACACCUAGCGUUUUUGAUAGGAUUGGACCAUCAUACCAGCAAGGCCUAGUUUCAGAUCCAUCUAAAGACAGGGCCAGACAGAAGGACUAUCUAAGGCCUGCUCAACACAGCAGAAGAAUGACAGAGCAGCCAAAGAAGGAAAUACCAAUUAAGAUGCCCAGAAAUGAAAAGCCUUUGGCAACUAUCAUAGAAGGCAGAUGGUAUUCUGUUGGAAAAAGCGGUAGACCAACUUUGGAGUUAACUAGAACUCAAAAUAGGAGAGUUUAAAGGCAAUACUGCACCUUCUUCAAGAACAGGGAUGACACACAGGCACUUCCAGAGACCAGUUUUACCAGAAGAAGGAAAAGUCUAGAAGUAGCUCCUCAGGCAGAACAAACAACAUAUCAGCCACAAGAGCUAAUGAAGACGAUUUCCAGGCAUACCUUCCAUCCAUCCUACCUCAUCCCCAGUCAAUCAGCUUGAACCUUCACAAAUACAAGGUGAAUCUGAACCUAUUCUAAUAGAAGGACAAGAAGACUGGACUGAAAAAUAUGAAAAGGAGUAGUUGGACUAUGAACCAUCUGCAGAAAACCAGACUAGGCUCCUCGAAACAGGGGAACAAGAGGACUGGACAGAAGAGUAUGGGGAAGAACAGAUGGAGUACGAUGGGGAAGAAGAGGCUUUUGGUGCAGAAUUGGAGAGCCUGUUGCAGGGUGAUCUUUGGUGCAUAAUUAGAGAGCAUGUUGCAAGGUGAUCUUUGGUGCAGAAUUGGAGAGCAUGUUUCUCCAAACCAACCAAGGAGAUGACCAAUCACCUCAGACCUCUGUUCAUAAUAGCAAACUUUGGGGGCAUUCCUAUUCCCAAAGCAAUGGUGGAUGAAGGUGCAACCAUUAAUCUUUUGCCUCACAGAUUACUGAGCAAGAUGGGCAGAACAUAAAAGGAUCUAAUUCCAACGCGUUUGAUUGUCACCAACUUUGCUGGGGGCAUCACUAAGACUCAUGGAAUCCUAGAUGUGGACGUCAUAGUUGGAACCAAGGAGCUGAAGAUUGCAUUUUUUGUGGUAGACACCACUUCUACCACUUACAAUGCAUUGCUUGGCAGGGACUGGACCCACCAAAGUCUACGUGCUCUCCCAGGAAGAGAGUCUACAGGAGGAAGUGGAAGAUCCAUUACAAGAGAUAAACUAAGGGACAGAAGAGGAUCAAAGAACCACUUUCGUUAGUGCGCUGCUGAAAGAACCACUCAAGAGUGAAAUCAUUGCACUUUGGCAUGAUUUUAGAGACUAUUUUGCUUGGCAUUAUCAUGAGAUGCCUAGAUUAGACAGAAAACUGGUAGAACACAAGCUGCCAAUCAAAGAAGGCUAUCUUCCAGUCAAACAGGCCAGAAGAAGGAUGUCUAUGGAAACAUAACUGAAAGUCAAGGAAGAAAUAGAAAGAUUGGUCAAGGCAGGAUUCAUCAGACCAUCCAUUUAUGCUGAUUGGCUAGCCAAUAUUGUGCCAGUUCUGAAAAGAAAAACAAGGGCAGUUAGGAUCUAUGUGGAUUAUAGGAAUCUGAAUGAAGCAUCUCCCAAGGAUGAAUAUCCUAUGCCAAUGGCAGAUAUGCUAGUAGAUGGAGCUGCUCAUAACCAAAUGCUAUCUUUUAUGGAUGGCAAUGUAGGAUAUAAUCAGAUUAUAGUAGCAGAAGAAGACAUCCAUAAAACAGCCUUCAUGUGCCCAAGACAUAUAGGUGCUUUUGAAUACACUGUAAUGCCUUUUGGCUUGAGAAAUGCAAGAGCCACUUAUCAAAGAGCAAUGAAUUCUAUUUUCCAUGAUAUGAAGGCCAUUCUCUAGAGGUGUAUAUAGAUGAUGUGGUGAUUAAAUCCCCAGAAGAAGAAGAUCAUGUAUCUAAUCUGAAAAGGGCAUUCCUAAGAAUGAGACAACAUAAGUUGAAAAUGAAUCCCAAGAAAUGUGUUUUCGCAGUUCAAGCAGAAAAUUUCUUAGGUUUCUUGGUCCACCAAAAGGGCAUAGAGAUCGAUAAAAAUGAAGCAAAAUCCAUCAUAGAAGCUCUACCACCUCGGAACAAGAAAGAGUUGCUGAUUCUUCUAGGAAAAAUUAACUUUCUCCUCCUUGUUAAGAUUGAAGCAGGAACAUAUAUUCAUGUGGGAGGAACAACACUAGCAGGCUUUUGAGGAAAUCAAACACUACCUCUCAAAUCCGCCAGUUCUGUCCCCACCAAAGAGAGGCAGACCACUCAAAGUAUAUGUUUCUGCCUCAUAAGUGUCCAUUGGGAGUUUACUAGUUCAAGAUAACAAGGAAGGGAAGGAAUAGGCAGUCUACUAUCUGAGCAGAACUUUGACAGAAGUAGAAAGGAAAUAUUUUGCAAUUGAAAGACUUUGUCUAGCCUUAUACUUCACUGAUGUGAAACUCAGACACUACAUGCUUCCAUUCACCAUCCACAUCAUUACCAAGAUAGACCUAAUCAAGUACAUGCUAACAAGGCCAAUGUUGAGAGGCAGAAUUGGCAAAUGGAUUCUGGCUUUGACAUAAUUUGCUUUCAAAUAUAUUCCUCAGAAAGCUGUCAAAGGACAAGCUGUAGCAGAUUUCCUAGCAGAUCAUCCAGGGGAAGAGAUUGAAAACAUGGAUUCUUUGGAUAUAGCAAAUGCAGAUCUGUUGACUAGAGCUCAUACUUAUCUAAACAAUCCCAUCUAUUCAGUUCACCUCACACCUUGGAAAAUGUACUUUGACGGAUCAAAAACUGAUGUAGCAUAUGGGGCAAUGAUUGUUUUAGAGGAGCCACUGGGGAUCAGACACUGUUAUUCUUUUCAGUUAGAUUUCCAAUGCACCAACAAUAGGGCUGAAUAUGAAGCUUUAAUCAUUGGCCUUGAAAUGCUGGUGGAAUUAGGAAUCCAAUCUCUGGAAAUUUUAGGAGACUCUAUGCUGGUGUUAAAAAAGAUUGCUGGAGAAUACAAGUGUCUAAAUCCUUCUCUAGCUGUCUAUCUAGUGGCAGCCAGGAAUCUUCUGACAGAAUUAGGGAAGCUACUUGGGAACAUAUCUUAAGAGAGGAGAACUUUGCAGCCAAUGAAAUGGCUCAGAUAGCAACAGGGAUACAAAUGCAUGAAGAUUGUGUGCAAAGGAUCAUCAAGGUAGGAAAGAAAAGUCUACCAUCUAUUCUGACCAGAGGAAUGGAGAUAGAUGUCAAUUCUGCCAUAAUCACUAAAGAUGAUUGGAGAACUUUCAUCAUAAAUUACUUGCAGUAUCCGACCCUGCCUUCUGAGAAAAGAGUCAGAAUCAUGGCUUUAAACUACCUUAUGUGGAAUAGAGAUUUGGUCCGAAAAAGCAAAGAUGAGGUACUUUUGAUGUGCCUGGGGAAGAAAGAGUACAUGAAGGUCAUGGGAGAAACCCAUGAAGGAAUCUGUGGAGCUCAUCAAGGUGGAAGAAAAAUGUACUGGUUAAUUAGAAGGUAUGGCUACUUCUGGCCAACUAUGAUGAAGGAUUGCAUUAACUAUUCCAAGGGAUGUAAAGCUUGUCAAAGGCAUGGCCCAAUCCAGCAGGCUCCUUUAGUUGCCAUGAAUCCAGUAGUCAAGCCAUGGCCAUUCAGAGGAUGGGCAAUGGAUCUCAUUGGCAAGAUUUAUCCAACCAGUAGCAAGCAACACUGUUUCAUCAUUGUAGCUACAGACUAUUUCACCAAAUGGGUGGAAGCCAAGCCUGUCAAAUCCACUACAUCUCAAGAGAUCAUCACCUUUAUAGAGGAGCAGAUCAUACAAAGGUUUUGGCAUUCUAGAAUCAAUCACAACUGACAGGGGAUCUUCUUUCAUAUUUGGAGAGAUGCUAGAUAUGGCAGAAGCAUUCAAAUUUAAGAUACUUCAAUCCAUUCCUUACUAUGCUCAAGCUAAUGGACAGGCAGAAUCAAGUAACAAGGUGAUCAUCAACAUUAUCAAGAAAAUGCUUGAGAAAAAUCCAAAGCGAUGGCAUGAGAAGUUGUCAGAAACUCUGUGAGCAUAUAGGACUUCAAAGAGAGAGGCAACUGGCAUGACCCCAUAUGCUCUAACUUGUGGUCAUGAUGCAAUUCUGCCUAUGGAAAUAGUAGUCCAAUCUCUCAGAAUUGCUCAGCAACACAAUCUAAUUGGAGAAGACUACUCUCAAGCCAUGCUGCUAGAACUGGAAGGAUUGGAUGCAAGCAGAAUUGAUACCCUCAACAAACUCCUAGCAAGAAAACAGGCUGUUCAAGGGCCUACAACAAGAGAGUUAAAAAUAAGAGUUUUGAAGAGGGAAAAAUAGUGUGGAAAGCAGUUCUGCCCCUUGGAACACAUAUAGCUGGUUAUGGAAAGUGGUCACCUAUAUGGGAAGGGCCUUUCAUAAUUAAGAAAAUCCUUGGAUUGGGGGCAUACAGAAUACAGGAUCGAGAUGGAGAUGUUCAUGUUGCACCAAUCAAUGGCAAAUGGUUGAAGAAGUUCUAUCCAACUAUGUGGGAUUCACAGGCUAUGCGAAUAGGUCCUGGAAUAGAGAGGCAGCAAAAUGAAACUGUUGUUUAAUUUUCUGUUCAGAGUUUGUUUUUGAUGUAAUUCGUUAAGAAUACCUUUUUAUUUUUGUUUUUGAUGUAAUUCGUUAAGAAUACCUUUUUAUUUUUCUGCUUUCUUUCAUUUUGUCAAAAGAAAUAGAAAAUGGAAAAAUUCCACAAAAAUAAAUAACUUUUUUAUUAAAUAUAGUCAUUCUUAUGGCUAAUUGUUUAUUUAAUUCAGAAUUUAAGUUUAAAACUCUAAUUUCCUAAGGGUUUCCUGCAAACUAGUCUUCUUGAUGGAGAGUUUUUUCUGAAGCAGCACUCCCUGGUGGAUUGAAAGCUCUGCAAUUUCCAAAGCUAGCCUGGAAGCCGAAACUAUGCUCUGCACAAAGAAGGUAGCCUUGGUCUUGGAACUCAGUCCAGCCCCGAGCGUGUUCUGCACCUCCCUGCAUUCUGCCAACUGCUUUUGAAGCUCUUCAAUCUGCUUCUCCAGCUUCUCUGCAAUGGCCUUGGCUUCUUUGUAUCCUACAACCAUCUGAUCCAGUUCUGCCUUCUGUUUUGCAUAAUCAGCCAAGUUGGCUUCAUGAGUAGCCUUGCAGAACUCAGAUGUUUUGAAGGUAGGCUUGAGAUCCUAAUAGCGAUCGUGAAGAUUGAGCACAUCUCUGGCCAAGCCAAGGCUCAUCUCAAGUAUAGGCUUGGGAGCCAUGUUCUAUCUGUGCCGUAGGUCCAGAUCCUUCAUCAAUUGGUCAACAGCUUCCCUAUUCUCAUCCAGUUCCAGCUCAGUGGAUUGCCAGAUCUUCACCCUCUCCAUUGCCUCAUCCAUUGCCUUUGACUUAGCCAUGCCAAGAGUGGAGCUGAGCUUCUCUAGUUUGUCCAGCUGGGCAUCUAGGUCCAUAGCUUCAAACUCCGCCAAUUCUGGAUUAGCAAAGGAGGCCGUGGUAGAUGAACCUAGAAGAGAAUGGAUGGGCAUCUGUAAAAAUAAAUUGUAAAUCAACACCAGGCAGAAUUAGAAAAGAAAGAGGGCCAAAAUGCAGUAAUACUUACAACAACAAUGAGAGGCUUCAGAGGGCUGGUCAUCAUUGCCAAAACCCCAGUAGUUUUGGGCACUUCUACCCGGAAAGACUGAUGAUUAGAGAAACAAGGACAUGACAGAAUUGCAGAAAACAGACAAAGAUAAAAUAAGAACAGGAAAUUAGCACAAGUCCAAGAACAGCAGCAGCUACCUCCGCUUCAAAUUCUGGGACUGCAACAGGAAGUUCUGCCUGUUCCGUAGGCUCUGAUGCAGAUUGCUCUGCUUACUCCUUAGAUACUGGAACUGCAGUGGAGUGUUCUGCCUCUGCAUCCUCGAAAAAGGCCAACUCCGUGCUGGUCAGUUCCGCCCUUGGAGUCUCUUGCUGCUUCUGUGCCAAAGCGAUGCUCUCUGCAAUCAUUUCAGUAGGGAUUUCCUUCUACAGACAGACAGAAGUCAGAGAUUAGAAGAAGAACAUACAAAAAGUUCGUGCAGUAAUAAAUAAAGACUCACCUCUUCUUCAAACUCUUUGUUCUUCUUCUUCAGAGGGACAUCUCCUUCUCCUAUUUUACAGCUUCAAAGGCCUCCCUUAGCUCCUCAUCCAUUCUAGAAGUGGUUGUGGGAGCUGCUGCAGGUUCUUCUGUGGCCACAUAUUCCGCCACUGCUCUCUUCCUAAGCCUUUUUGACUUAGUGGGAGGGGGAGGAGGACUUUCAGCUGCUAGAAACAGGCAAUAAAAUGAUUAGAACAUGUGAAUUAAACCAAGGCAUGGCAGAACAGGAUUAGGAAAGCUCAAACUCUUAAGACUUACCUGAAGUUUCUGGCUAAACAGCACUAUCAUGGAUUGGAGCAGUCUCUUUCCUCUUUUUCCUUAUACCAGAAGGAGUUGCCUCAACAGCUGGUUGUUCUGCCAGAGUUUCAUCGUCUUCAUCCCCAAUUGGAAGCUCCAAAUCUCCGGCAGCAAUGACAGAAGUAACUGGACAGGAAACAAACAAGUCAGGAGACGAUCCGGUAGGAAAAUAAUAGAAGGAACGGAAUGAUGGAAAACUUACCAAUCACCUCUCCAGCGUGGAUAGAUUGUUAGCCUAUGUUCUUUGUCAAGGAAGGAUCUGUUGUAGACAGAACAAAGUGUUAGAUAUCAUCACAGGGGCAGAAUGAAUAAAAUACAGACAGAAUCAGGAAUCUACCUUCUAUGACUUGUGCAUUAAUGUCUUUAAUGGUCUGCACCUUGAAUCUAUGAGUAUCAUCUCCUGCAUGAACAACCCAGGAAUCCCAGCCAUCAAAAAGAACUUUGAGUGCAAUGCUGGAGGCAGGCAGACCUUGAAACCUAGCUUUCCACCAAGCAUCAAACUCGGCAGAACUGCAGGAAUUAGGCUCCCAGGAUGGAUAAAGAGCGUUUGCACUAUUGUUUAUCUUGGUCACCGCACACCUGGCAUCCUUAUGCACUUCCAAAUCAUCCAGGUCCCUCCAGGAAGUGGCCUGAUUACAGCUUCUGUAGGAUUUGAAUGGAAUGAGUUGAGGGUAGCCAAGUUGUCUUGCGCAGAAGUUGGGAUGAUAGACUUCUGCCACCAAAUGAUAAUUCAAAGGCUUUCCACCUACAUGAGGCAGGUCUCUUGGUAAGGUUACCCUCAAGAAUUUCUUCCUGAAGUCAAUUCUGGCCGCUUCUUCCUCUGGUUCCUUCUUAAAUAAUUUGAAUCCAUUGGAACCAAGGAUAUGUUCUUCUAAUGACCACCUGCCACUGAGCUGCAGAUCUAUUAGUGUAGUGUCUGAAGAACAUCAGGUAGUCUUCAAUAGAAUGCUUGGGCACUUCUGCUGACAUCAGGGGAAGAGCCAAAACCUGAUCUUCAGGUAGAACUAUGUCUGGAAACCUCAGUUUUGGGAAAUAGACCUGCAGCCAGAUCUGGAUCAUCCAGAACGCACUAGGAGCAGACAGGUUCAGGGGAUUCUCCAAGGUGGCAGUAUGCAGAUUCUUGAAUAGAUGUUCCAGGUUUGUAGGCCUAAGUCCGACGUCAGUAUGGUUGUACAAUGCUUCUGCCAAAUGCCUGUAUUCAAGCAGAAUUGCUGAGGAAUGGUUUGGGAAAACGAACCAGUUUAGCCAGUACAUAAGGAACAACAUAUGUUGUUGAUCUUUGUCCUUCUCAGCACUAAACUUCCUCAAAUAGUUGGAGAAGGAGCAGUUCUGGUUGAUUGUGAUUGGAGAGAUAAUGAAUGGCUUGGACAGUUUUUCUUGAUUCUUCCUCCUAUGGUAAUCACCAACAGCAUCCACAGGCCUUCCAUGAGGUCUGAGCCCAAAAAUCUAAGCCAUAUCUAGCAGAGUUAGAGUCAUUGGGCCCAGGCGGAAGUCGAAGGUAUUGCUGACAGAAUUCCAGAAGUACAGAGCAGCAGCCAGAAGGUUCUCAUCCCUGUUUAUCGACUGCUUGGAUAGAAGAAUGGCAUCAUACAUGCCAGCCCUUUUCUAGUGAGCUCCAUACCUGGGGAGGAGUCUGUCAAUCUAGUCUAACCACUUCACUGGACUAUUCCUCACUUCACUGGAGGGAAAAGAGCGGCUUAGGUUCUUACUAACCCAAGUAUGAGUUGCCAGAGUAGAAAAACUCUGAAAACAUAGAGGAGCUUCAACGUCACCCUUGAACAAUUCUACCAUCUCAGCAGGAACAGGGCCAAACCAGUAGGGACCUAGAACCAAGAUAUUUUUGAAAAGGUGAAGGACAUUCUCGUCCAGAUUCUUUUGGGAAAAAGGGUGAAGCUUGCUAUGAACCUCUGUGGCAUGAUUAUCAACACCAUCUCUGGUGAGAUAAGCAAAGGAUCAUGAACAGGAAGAACCCUUGGCGUGAGUGUUUGGAGAAGACAUUUUCAAAAUUUUGAGCUGAACUAGGAGGAGUCAAGCUGAAAGAAAGCAGGGUUUUGGUCGAAGAAAAGGAUAAAAGUUAUGAGAAAAACUGAGAAAAUCAAGGUCUGAGGAAGUUAGGUUUUUGAAGUGAACAGAAGUUGAAGUUUUAAGACCCUUAAAAAGGCUCGAAAUCGUGGGAAGAAGAAGACAAGAUGCCACCUGAUAAUGACUAGCUAGUAACUGACCAUUUUCCCACGAAGUCUGGUUCGUGGUAGGCAGACGUGGGCUAACAGAAGAAACUGGCGCGCAAAAAUUAAUGGCCAAGUCAUUAAGUCUGGAACCGUUCUAGAACGAUUCAAACUUAUGGGGCAUUGUUUGGGUCUAAUUUGGCAUACCCAGUCCAAUAUCAAAAACCCCAUGUCAAUUUUGGAUAGCCCCCAACGCUACCCUUAAAAAUGGGCCAAAAUCACACACUCAGCCCAACACUAGAGGCCCAGAAGGACGAGGCAAAAUCACACCCAGGCGGUAUGGACUAGAAUUGGAAUCGAGGGCCCAAAGUCAAAAAGCCUAAACCCAAGUUAGAUUCUUACCAAAGCCCAAAUUUGAAGAAACCCAAAACAGUUUUUAUCAAAACUACCAGCUCUCCACCCAAACUGAAGAAUGGGCCGAAAUACCACCUUUAAAAGUAAACGCACUCAACCCUGGAUUACAAAGGAACUCACAUGACUACCUAGUUUUGAAAAGCCAACAAUUUCAACUGGGUUGAUAAGGAGUUAAUAAAGGCAGGUAUAAAAGAAAGAUAUCUCUGAAAUCUCUGCCACCAGAAGAUCAAAGUCCCUUUUGUAUAUUCAGAAAAAUUUGUACUCCAAGCAGACACCAUUUUUAAGAGAUAAGUAGGGUGCAGGGAGUUGUUCAUCUGGAAGAUCAAACUAACCAUCACAGUUUGAGCUCUUACAAAGAGCAGUUAAAUUCGAAGAAGGGUUAGGUUUUCUUUCAAAGAAAAACAAGGAAGUCACUGCCUUAAGAACUGACUGAUGAUGGUCUACUUACCAGAAUAGAUAACUUCCCUUUUCUUUGACAUUUGAAAAUAAAAGAUCUUGUUUUUUAGAAAAUCUGCCGCCCAUUUUAGAAAUUAAAAAUCCCACUCCAGCAUUUCCUAUAAAUAUGAGAGAAGGUGAACAGAGCAAAGGACAACCAAAAAAUCAAUCAAAGAUAAAAACUCAAAAUGAUCACUUGAUCUCAAAGAACCUUCAAACAAACUGAAGCAACCGAAAGCUCAUUGAGCCACAAGAAAGAAGCCAGCUACAAAUCAAAACUUCCAGUUUCAGACUUAGAGAAAUAAGUCAUUCAAAACAAGAUUUCUCUCGUUACAAAUUUGGUUUAGCAAAAGCCAAAUCAAGCAGAGUCUGGGUUUUUAUAAAUAUGAAAACCUCAACAAAUUUAUGGAGAGCCCUGAUCAAGCUGAACAGGUUCCACAGUGCAGUUCCAGCUUAGUAAUCCUCAAGUCCAACCACUUCUGCCCCUUUCAGACUGAAGAGGCCAUAAUUUUGCUUGUUCAAAAAGCCUUCCAGGGCUUGAAAUAGAUUAAAGCUAUGCCAAACUCAAACGUUGGUAUCGAUUUACAGUUGAAACUUAGCAGUUGAAGUUGUUGACAGUCCAGUCCAGCUAGGAUCAGAAGCUUCUAUCCAGGCAUAAAUGGAAGCCCAGCCUUCUUUUUGUCUUUCUAGAGUUGGUUUUUCCCUUUUGAGUUUUGUAAAAGGCAGUUCUGCUUGAAAACAGUUCACUUUCUUACCAUUUCUUCAGGCUAAAACUACCAAUCUUGUACUGUGAAAAAUUGUGAAGUCCUUACAAGUCUGAGGCAAGAAAAGAACUUACUUGGGAGAUAUUCCUCACCCAAAUUCACAAUCACUUGUUUAGAAAUCAGUAACUUUAGGCCCAAGUUAUCUAUUUUUAAGAAGUCUGCAAGGAUUUUUCAUUGCUAAUAGUGGCACGCUCGCACACUAAAGAAAGUUGAUUUGUUGACCAUUCAAUGGUUUUCAAGGCAAUGGGGAAUUUUGCCCUACCAUCACAGGAACAAACAUAGAAUGGGUGAAUAGUAAAAGAUGGAGAUCAUUAGCGGUUAGAAAGCAUAUGAAGAUGGUCUUAGGUUCAAAGCCUCUUGGGUGGGUUAAAAAGUGUGUGGGUUGCAUACCUUGCACACCCACUGAAGGUGUUUCUCCACCUGAUAAGAAUUAUAAUCUCAAGGCAACAUAUACAAAUCAGGGAGAUGAGGGCUAUUAUCUCCUCUCAUGCAAAUGCAAAUGUAGGAACAAGUUGUUCGAACCUUGAAUAUUUUGUUUUAGCUUAGCCUAACAAUGAUGGUUAUGUUUUGUAUUGUUUUUAGGCUUAUUUACUGUAGUUCUCCUUGAAACUGUGGCCAAUUCUCACUUUACCCCUUGAAGUUAAAAUGACCCAAAAUGCCCCCUUGACCAAGGUUUGGUAGUUCACUUUACCCCUCACCGUUAACUCAGUUAAAAAUUCUGUUAAAAAUGAUGACAUGGCACGAAAGGGACCUACCUUUGUGCUGAAAUGUGUCACAUAUGAAAAAUAAUAAUAAAUCAUAUAUCUUUUCAAAAAUAUAUUUUUAAAAUAUUAUUUUUUUCUCUCUUCAUCUCUCUCCCCAUCUCUCUUCAUCAAGGGGGCACUUUGGGUCAUUUUAACUUUUUUAGGGUAAAGUGAGAAUUGACCAUUGUUUCAAGGGGCAUUACAGUUGUCACAUCCCGAGAUCGACUCUGCCAUAGUACGAUAUUGUCCGCUUUGGGCCCCCCUCUCUGCCCUCACGGUUUUGUUUCUGGGAACUCACGAGCAACUUCCCAAUGGGUCACCCAUCUUGGGAUUGCUCUAGCCCCAACUCGCUUAACUUCGGAGUUCUCAUGACUCCGAAGCCAAUGAGCUCCCAAAAGGCCUCGUGCUAGAUGGAGGUGGGUAUGUACAUAUAAGGCACAUCACUCCCUCUCCGUUGGUCAAUGUGGGAUGUUAUAAUAGUAAAUAAGCCUUUUUUUUUUCUAUGCAAGUAAUAUUGGGAAAAAAGAAAUUCGAACACGGACCUUAGGUGAAGAGGUAUCUAACUGCUCUUAAUAACUUGACUUAUGAGUCCCUUUGGUCCUAUGUUUUGUUUUAGCAUAACCUAGCUAUGUUUCUAUAUUUUGUAGUAGCUCAACCUAAUAAAGUUUCUUACUAAUAUUAAUUUACACUUUGGAUGGAUGGCUAAGAGCAUCUCCAACUCUAUCCUCUCAUCCCUAGCUACUUCGGCUAAAAAGAAGAACAAUCCUCCUCCAGCAGACUCCCUACUUGGCUCUCUAUUUUGGAGAACAAACGUUUGGCUCUCUACAUGUAGAAAGGAUGAGAGAGAAUUUGGCUAGGAGGAGAGAGAAAAAGGGAGAGAGAGAUAGCGACAUUUGGGAGGUUGGUGGGGUUGUGUUUUAAUUUUUUUAAUAAAUAUAUUGAAUUUGCAAGAGAAAGAGGAGGAAAAAGAAAUAAUAAAAUAAUAAAAAAAUAUUUCAAAUUAGCCAAAGUAGAGAACAUUGCUGGAGGAAACACCUUUUAAGUGGUUUACUAUAAUAGCUUUCUAGCUAUUUUAGCUAGAAUUUGGCUAAAAUGUGGAGACUCUCCUGAAGAUGCUCUAAUGCAAUAGAUAAUUCUAUCAACCCAUUAUCAGCGAGGGCUUUGUCUUGCAUGAGAAUGUUCCCAAGGCCUAGCCCUUCAUUCUUCCCCUACUUCGUGAAGUGAAAGUUACUAUAAAAGUCCUACUGUUUUAGUUGGUUAGUUGCAAAUUAGUGGUAUUAGAUUUACAAAUUAGAAGUCUUUGACAAAUAACGAGAAGAAGAAAAAAGGACAAAAUAUGCUACAAACUUUUCUUGUGCAACUAAGAAGUCUGAAAUGUUAUUGGGUUGGUUAGUUGAAAAGUGAGGAGCAUAUUUUUCUUUUUUCUUCUUCUCGUUUUUUUUUCUUCUGAUUUGUCUCUCUCUGUAUUUGUAAUAAGUUAAUAAGUAAUUUAAUAAGGAAAUGACUCCGUCACCAAGACUUAAAACAAAUCACCAUAUUGUAUAGUAUGUUAAUAUGUAAUUUUUUUAUUGUUAAAAAAUUCACUAAUUUUGGUUAUAUACAAUUAUUUGAGAAAGAUUGGAGAAAGAAUCCCCAAAAUACAUGCUAGGUGUGAAUGUUUUGACAAAGCAACAAAAGUAAUUGUCAGAGACUUGGACUUGGACCAAAAACGCGACAUUGACAUGAGAUAUUUUUUUUACAUGAUUGGACUUGGACCAAAAAUUAGACCCAUUUUCCCCACUUUCCCACUAAGAAAACAGACAAUUAGGAGCACAAAAAAAGCAUAAAGAAAAAACUCUGAAAAAUUAGGAGCCUCGCUGAAUCUGGGGAUAAGGUAGAUAGCUAGGGGCUGUUCAACCAAGUUUUCUCAGAAGUCAUCCUUCGAUCGGUCUAAUCUCUGCUACAUAAAAUCAGGUAAUCUCUUUGGCCCCAUCUUUACAUACAUGCAUGUCAAGUGAGCCAUUUUUCAUCUCUCCUACUAUGCCUAGAUUGUUAGUGUUGAUAUUGUGACUAACUGAGCAACUAGCUAAGCAAGAUUAGCCACGUGCCAUGCUUUGAGAGGUCAUCGCCUUAGCCAAAGAAGCCUUGCCACAAGUCACAACUAGGGGCAAUGUCAAGAGUCCACAUUGGAAGAUUACAAGAGGUGGAGACUCCCCUUCACCUAUAAAAGAAAACUACUCUCUACUUCGAAAGGGGUAUGGGGCUUGAUCUUUGGAUCCUUUAGUCUUGAGUCUUAAGACCUAAGUCUUGACCCUUGGGCCUUGGGUUCUUGGGCUUUAUACCUUAGGCCUUGGGCCUUCUUCCAUUUAACUUUAGGUCUAAUCCCCCUGUACAAAUGUAAACAAACAUUAUCAUAAUGAGAACAUCCUUCUCCGUGGACGUAGCCCAUCAUUCAGGUGAACCACGUAUACCUUGUCUUCUGCAUGCUUAUUUACUUAUGCUAAAAGUCAUUGACUGCCUCUUGCCAUAACCUCCCGAAGGCACAUACACAUGCUGAAGGCCCACGUAUUCACACAUUUUCCACCACUCCACAUCUAUCUAAGUUGAACUCCAUUUUGAGCAUCAACAGUUAAGGUUUUGUUUUAUAAACAUUCUUAAUUGUCAUGUUUUUUUGUUCGAAGGAAUGAAGAUUUCAUUAUCUUUAGAAGGGUACAAACAAGCCCAAUACAACAAACAGAACAAUAAAACAAAAGUACAACCAACCAUAAUACACAAAAUUUAGGCCCAACACAAAAAAAAUCCCUAAGAAACACAGAAACCCUAAAAUCACACCCAAGAACUAAGCAGCUGCAGCUGCAACCUGUUCUGCCGUCGCCACCAAUAGAGGAAGGUCCAUGAGAAUCGACAAAGGAGAUCUGAAGAGUGUGGAUUCGAGGAAGCAAGCCACCACCAUGCAUCAAGCUCAAAUGAUCCAUGGAUUGGUCUAAAUUGACCAUUAAACUACAAAGCCCACUCCUCCAGAGCAAAAGCUUAGACAUGGAUGGGUUGUAGGAGAUGAACAGCAACAACAAACAGGAGACAACCAAGCCAAUGCUAGGGAAAAGGAAGGGGUUUAGGGUUAAAGAGUUCGUGGGAGGGAAAGAGAAAUGGGCUGAAGGGGAGUGGGUGGAUGACAGGAGAAGAGGGAGAGAUAGGUGAAAUGGCUGUAGAGGAGUGGGAGAGAAGAGAUUGAGGAGAUCUGGGCCAACAGCAAGAAAAACAAAAUAGAAAAAGCACACCAAAAUAAACAACAUAAAAGAAAAGUAAAAGCCACACUAGAGGGUGGCGGAGAGGCAACACCAGAGGUGGCAGAGAAGCCACCCCGAAGGGUUGAAGCACAGCUAGAAGCUUAGAAGAGGAAAAUGGGAUAUAUGACAGCUGGUAGUUUUCAGCUUACAUAUUUGUCAAGGCAACAAGCCUAUAUACAACGACAGCUCUGAAAUUUUAGGGGCCGUAUGCCAGAACAACAAGAGGACCUCCUAAAAUAAAGUUUCCAACGAAAAAUUAUAAAAAAUGUCAAACUCUAUAAUCAAAAUCUUGUGAUCAUUAAAUUACUAAUUAUCAUUAAAGAAGAAAAAUAUAUAAUUUUAAAAUUAAAAUUAAAUAGGAAUAAGAAAACCAAUAUUAAAUAGGAAUAAGGAAACUAACAUUAUUAUAUGGGGCCCACUUUUUCGUUUGUAAGUCUGUCUCAAAAGUAAAAAAUCAAUAUUAAUUUUAUUAAACUAAUAUUAUUAUUAGGCUAUAGGCUACACCAGUAUCUUAAAUUUGUUAUAAAACUAGAGGGAAAAAAUGUAGAGAGAAGUGAUAUGCUAAAGAUAAAGCUUCACCAUGUUUAUUCCUUCCUUAAAUCUUUGGUAGAACCACCUAUUUAUAGGCUUACAAGAUAGGAGAUUGAAUACCAUCAUUUACAAUAUACCUAUAGGUUACAAGCAUUAAUUACAAAUACUUAGUGCAUAGGUUACAUAAAAUCCAACGGUGGAAUAUUAAGAGGUAUGGUGGUCAUCCACCAACUCAUGCAUUUACAACACUCCCCCUUGGAUGUCCACCAUACAAUGACAUAGUUCCCUCAUUAAAAACCUUGCUUGGAAAACCCAGUGGGACAAAACCAAAGCGAAGGGAAAAAGAGUGAAACUUUCUUCUGAAUCAUUGAUAUGGUGUUGGAUGAGCUUAUAUUGCCUCGUUAAAACCUUGCUAGGAAAAAUUCAGUGGGACAAAAACCUAGUCGAAGGGAAAAAGAGUACAACGCUCAUAUGCCUUGAAUGUAGUAGAAUUGGGAUGCUCCCCCUGAUUGAUAUCUCCCCCUGAUUAAUAUCUCUCCUUCUCUGAUUUGAGCAAUACAAGCAACAUUGUCUUCAUACAUGAUCAUCUAUCACACUAUUCAACCUGCUUUUCACUUUUCAAAUGAUUGAAAUCUUUAGGAGUAUCAACAACUAAUUUAGUAGUUAGAAUAUGUUACAACAAUAUCAAAUUUGAAUUCAAAAUACUCAAACUCUUAGUGUUAACUCUUAAUUAAGAAUAUUGUGGUACUUUAUAUCCUUCAAGAGGUUGCUUCAUCUGAUAUAUCUCAAAUAUUUCAUGAACUUUGAGGAUUUCCAUGUACCAUAUAGUCUUAAUAAAUAUGCAUUUAACACAUACUAUAAGUUUUGCGUUAAAGUAACAACCGCACUUAUAGAAAUGUGGAUGCAUUUACGAUGAGAUUGGAGACUAAAACCACAUGUCUCUCCCAGGAAACCUUAUGUCAUAUUAGUGAUCUUAUUUCACUUCACAAACACCAAUUCGUAACCUUCAUACUGAAUAUUUGUAAUUUGGUGUUUGAGUUAUAGGUUCAAUAUCCAACUCUUCUUAUUUAGUGAUAAAUGGAAUUGCCUAUUUCCAUUUUUGGCCAAUCACUUAAUUUGUCGACAUUCAUGAAACGUGAUUUAAUAUAAUCAUAGCCCUUGAUGAUUGUAGUAGCUACUAAUAAACCAAAUGUAUCAUCAAUUUGUGAUCCCACAAUUCUUAUGUGCAUGCACAUGCAUAAUUUAUAAUCAUCUCAUUGCUUUGGGGUACCAAUGCCUCUUCAGGGGCUUAUGUUGUCACUUAUGGGACAAACAUCUCUUUUACAAUGAAUUAUUUAGAAUAUGUGGAUCAUAACCUCCUAUAGAGCGUUAUUUUUUAUAGGGCUUGAAUUUUUCAAAUAACCUCCAUUUCUGAGGAGUUAAGUCUUUAGAACCUAUAUUUCUGACAUGCUUCAGACAUGCAUUAUAUAUAUAGUCACCAUGUUAAUGGAUUGUGAUACGAGAAUAUCAAUCCAUGUUAGCAUAUGUACAACUUAUAUAUGCAUUAUCUUGAUGAGACAAAAGCGGAUUGAUUCAACACUAUUUCACGACGUUCUUUAGGAAUUGUCAUUUCUCCCCCUAACGGCGGGAAAAUUGUCUCAAAAUGUAGAAAAAUAAACUCACAGUCGUUAUCAAAUAUGUGACCAUUUUAGUAGGCACAUUCAGUAAAACUGGUGAAGUGAUCCAUAAUUAGAUGUUGUAUAGGCUCACAAAUAUCCCCUUGAAUUAUUUCAGGAAAGAUGGCUCAAAGUCAAUUUUUGACUAGAUGAUCUUAUGACAGCUUUUAUUUGUGAGCGUUCUUUGUAAUGAUAUUGUUGGACAAGACAAUAAUUUGAGUCUUUAAACGAUGUCCUUACAAAUUUAUAAAAAUCUUAUGCAUCAUUGUGGGACAUGGAUUGCCAAGAUAGUCAUGUCACAACAUAAAAGUUAUUCGGUCAAUGAACUUCUAGUUCAUGACAUCAUAAUCUUCAACUAUAAUAGUUGUGUAAUAUUGGGGCCUCAAGAACUUUUGGUUCAUAACAUCAUAAACUUCCUACCCACAAAAGAAAGUAGGAAGUUUCUCCAAUAGACGCCUCUGGCUAUCAAUAUUGGGGCGGUAAUACAAAACAUUACCAUUGUAAACGAAAUUAAUUAAUAACCUAACAUAAAUAUAAUAUAAUAUAAUAUAAUAAGUAAAGUGGUAUAAACAAGGAAUAAAAUAAAUCAAUUAAAGAUUAUGAAAUUCCAAGAUAAUCCAAUAUUAAUGUGGAUUCAAUAUGUAGAUAAAACUACAAGUUUAAGAAUUGGAUUUCCAACCAAUUCAGGUUCAUAUAGGCACAAAUAAGUAAUGAACUUCAAGUUCAUAUAUAGUAUUAAGAUCCAUGAAAAACUAUGAACUUCAGGUUCAUAUCAAUAUAUAUUCGAAACUUCAGGUACGAAUACGUAGAUCUAAAUAAAUUGAAUUAAUAGUUGUGCUUUGAACUUCAUACUCAAAUCGAUGUAUAUGCACUCGAAACUUCUGGUUCAAGUUCUUGACAUAUGUAGGCCUCAUGGAAUUCUGAUUUUGAUUAAUACAAAAUCGAGGAGUUUUAUGUCCUUAUGUGCUCUUUAAAUUCGCGGAACUUCACGCCCUCAAUUAUUUGGAAUCAAAGAACUUCAGGUUCUGAUUCAAUCAAAAGGACUCUAUAUCCUAAUCUAGUUAUAUGAUGAGGAUCACGGAACUUCGGGCCCCUGAUCUUUUGUAUAAUUCAAACUCAUCAUAAUAAUUAAGAUCAUACUUAAAAUUAAAUAAACAAACAAAUAAAAACAAAAACAUGACAUUAUAUUCAUGUGUAAUAAGAAUAAGAUUUUUUUUUCUUAAACAAGCAUGAUGAAGUCUGAUGGUGAGUACAAAGAAACUCUAUACCAUGUGAUGACUCUAGCUCAUAUAAGAAGAAAGAAAAUUCAGAGAAAGAAAACAUACCAAGAGCAAUGUCGUGCUGAUAACGUGUUAUAAAACUAGAGGGAGAAAAUGUAGAGAGAAGUGAUAUGCUAAAGAUAAAGCUUCACCAUGUUUAUUCCUUCCUUAAAUCUUUGGUAGAACCACCUAUUUUUAGGCUUACAAGAUAGGAGAUUGAAUACCAUCAUUUACAAUAUACCUAUAGGUUACAAGCAUUAAUUACAAAUACUUAGUGCAUAGGUUACAUAAAAUCCAACGGUGGAAUAUUAAGAGGUAUGGUGGUCAUCCACCAACUCAUGCAUUUACAACAAAAUUUAAAUUAAUAUUAAGGAGCUUCACUAUUAUACCUAAAAUAGGGGCUGAAAUUAUAUUUAAAAAAAUCCUACAUGGAAUGCACUUUAGUAACACACUCAAAACCCAUUUACUACAUAAGAAAUGAGUGUUGAAGUUCCUAUAAAUUACAUGACUGCCACUGAUUAACUUAAACAAAACCCAACACAAAAAACUAAAUAAAAAACCUAAAGCAAGUCCAGCCCAUAUUUAUUUUUAAAAAACCCAAACAAUUUAUUAAAAAAAAAUUUGUGAAAACCAAGCAGGGGCUCUUCGUAGAACUACAUUGUUAAUAGUCUGUCAUAGAAGUACAUUGUUAAUACUCUGUUAUAGAACUAUAUAGUUAAUACUACUAUGUCAUAGAAGCACAUUGUUAAUACUCUGUCAUAGAACUAUAUAGUUAAUACUACUAUGUCAUAGAAGUACAUUGUUAAUACUCUCUCAUAGAACUAUCUUGUUAAUACUCUGUCAUAGAAAUGAAUUGUUAAACAAAAAUGAGAUCCAUAACUUAAAUAGUAACAAAAGAUAAAUCGAUCAUCAGAGCUUAAAAUACAUUCCUCAAAUCAACUAAAAUCCGAAGAGAAACACAUAUUGAAGCAAAAGAUCAAAAAUUCCAAGUCCAAACCAAACGAUGACUACGCGGCGAAAUCCCUGUCUUCCUCCAAAACUGAAGACGACGAGUCCUUGUCGUUGUGCAACACUCUGGAACAAUCGGCAAGGUCCUCGGCUGUUGUUUUUGCCGAGACGACUUGUCGAGAUUGAGGUUCCUUUGAUAUCAUUGUACAAUUUCACCAUAAUGUCAAUCUCAUACAUUCGUCCACAAAUCUACAAGCAAAAAAAAAAAAAGAUGAAGAAGAUAGUAUAGGAGAACGAACUUAGAGAGAUUAAGAUCGAGAUCGAGGUGAUACAAUUUGGCGAGCUGAGGCUUGGUCCCUUGAAAAAGUGUUAGAGCCAACAAUGGAGAGGAUACAUAGACAUCUGCACAAUCCGAAAAGUCCAGACAGAAAGAUGAUUACAAAACAAGAAAUGGAAGAACAAAAACUAAAAAUAAAGAUGAGAGACUAGAGCUCGUGAAAUGAGCUCUACUCUGGCUUCAACUCCAAAUAAAUGGAUUAGAAUUCCAAUUUUAUGUUAAAAGGGUAAUAAAGGUAUUCCAUCUUAUUAAUUUUGAUGUCAUGGAUUAGAAUUCCAAUCUUAUAAAUGACUUCAACUAAAGCAUAUUUUGAUGUCAUGAUAUUUUGGAUUCACGGACUUUGCUAAGUCGGUUUGCUCAUUCUCCAUUAUUCUAUAUUAUUCUAUAUUAUUCAAGAUACAAGUGUGCAUUAAUUUUAACAUUUCUAAUAUUUUCUGCAGUCGAAAAAAGGACUUGUUGAAUGAUCAAAACUUUUGGGAUUACUUGCAAUGGAUUUGAUCACAAUCUUUAGGAAAUUACCACAGCUAAGUAAUUAAGUUCAUUGAAGUGGCGAUAUGUACACACAAAGAAUAUCUGCAUCUUCUUCAUCUACAACACCUCAAUGGAAAUAUGAUGUUUUUCUCAGUUUUAGAGGCGAUGACACUCGGAAGGACUUUACAGACCACUUAUAUGAAACAUUGAGAGCUCAAGGAAUCAUAACUCGUAGGGAUGAGCCUAAAAUUUCAAAGGGAAAAGCUAUUUCUCGAGAACUGAUUGCUGCAAUUGAAGGAUCAAGGUUUGCGCUUAUUAUCCUCUCACAAAAUUAUGCAUCCUCAACAUGGUGUUUGGAUGAACUUCUACACAUUCUUAAAUUCAUGCAAGCAAGAGAAGCAAUGCUACCAAUAUAUAUCUCUUUUUAUAUUUUACUUAUGGAAUAUGUUUUGCAUUUGUUAAAGAUUGUUUUGGAGAAGUUUGCAUCACAUAGAAGUUCCUUAAUGUUUUGAUAAGGGAAAAAUACCAACCUUGAUAAUAUGUCAAUAAAAUGCCAAGGUGCAUCAUAGGCAUCUAACAACCACAACUAGUUACAUAUCCCUUGAUUCGGUGAAAAGUCUUGCAAAGUCUUUAGAGGACCAAGCUAGUUCCAACAUCUUUAGCUCAUUACAUAUGGCAUUUGACUAUCUCAACUAGGGGUGGGCAUUCAAAUCGAAAAACCGAAGAACCGAGCCGAACCAACCCUGAAAAAACUGAAGAAAAAAAAAUCGUGUUGACCAAAAUCAGACUGAGUUCACCAAAAACCGAAUCGAAUCGGUUCAACUCGGUUUUAGUUUCGGUUUGCUGUUUUAAAAAACCAAACCGGCCCGAACCAGAAUGGUUAUUUAUUAAAUAUAUAGUUUUUUAAAAUUAUUUAAAUAUGCUAUAUUAUGAUUGGUUGAUGCACCAAUUCUACAUUAUUUGUAUAGAAAGGGAUGCACAUAACCUCACCCCAUUUAUCCUUUUAGUUUCUAACCCUAACUCAGCUCUCUCCCCAUCUCUCCUCCCCUUCAUUAUUUUCUCAGACGCCCUUUCUCUAUUAUCUCUCUCUCUCUCUCUCUCUCUCUCCGUUGAAGAAGGUGAAGGGGGUGAUGAUGCGAGGGACAUAUCGACAACAACGACGAUGAGGGUGAGCCCAUACCUUCAUCAAUGACGACAACGACAACGACGAGAGGGUGAGUUCUUUCUUUUCCCCUAUUUUUUGUGGUUUUUAGUAGAUUCCAAAGAUUUUUCUCAUAUUUGUUUUUCUUAAUUUCUAUUAAUCAAUAUUGGCCAUGUUGGUUGUCCAUACCUUCAUGACGAAUAGAGAAUAUGUGUGGUUAAUUUGCGGUCCGUAGUUAUAUGCUUUAGACAAUUAAUUUACAUGUGGGUUUCUUUUUUCUUUUAUUUUCUUCCUGGAAUAAGGAUUUUUAUUCAAUUUAUUAUUUGUUAAUUUAUUUUUCUAGAACAGUGGGUUGCUAUUUCAUGAGGGAGAUGGCAAAGUUGCAGUCCAUGUCAUGUAUUCUUGGCCUUCUUCCCUGAUGCUUCUAUUACUUUCUUGUAAAAUGGUUUUGAAGAGAUCUGGUCUGUAUUUGGAGGGAUUUUUCCGUGAAUAUCUCUUUCGCUUUUGAUUUCUUUAUUCUUUCGCUUUUGUUAAAUAACUGACAAUUGAUAAAGUUUUGAAUGCUUUAUAGGUUGGGAAAAGUUAUUUAUACCUGGAGUGGAAGCAAGAAGCUAUUACAUUUUUCAGUUUCUUGAGAGGAUUAAGGCUAAUGGCUCUUCCUCUGCUGCCCCAACAUAUCUUGAGAGGAUUUGCAUCUCAUAUUCACCAAAUGCCACUUUUGAAUUAUUCUUAUAAACUGGUACUUUAAACUUUUAUUAAUUUGUUCUUUUGUGUUUUUGGUAGAAACAGAUCAUUGGAGCUUCUAAGAUGCGGCAACAAAGAAAAUGGAGCUGUAAUUUAAAAUUUGGUCGUAAUUUAGUUUGCUUCAUUAUAAAUUUGGUUGUAAUUUUAAAUUUAACGUUGGAUUCCAAUUGUGAUUUUUAAGCCCAAAAAGUUUAAAAAUUCGGUUGGGCUUGAAGCUAAAAAUAUCCAUAGAAAAAGCAAAAACAAAAUCAAUUGGGCUUGAAGCUAGAAAUGUAAAAGAAAAAAACAAAAAAAAUCAAUUGAGCUUUGGAGUCGGUUCAAAUCGAGAAAAUCGAAAAUCGGACUAGAUCUAACUGGUCUGAUUUGGUUCGGGUUUGUUAUUAAAAUUUCAUAAAAAUCGAUCCGGUUAAAAAUCAGACCAGACUGGACUGAUGAACAGUACCAAUUUCAAUUAUAAUUUUAUAUGAAAACCAGCCCAAACCGAACCGUGCCCAGCCCUAAUCUCAACAAAGCAGACAUCAGACAAACUAGACAAAAUUAAAUUAUAAAUAAGAUUUAAAUUUACCCCUAAAAUUCGUGGGUUUAUAUAGUUAAUAAUCAUCGACCAAAAAAAAAAAAUUUCCUAAAUAAUUUAUUUAUUUAAAAAAAGUAGAAACUCCUGCAACCACAUUUCCAUCCCCAAACUCUUAAGUAGGGUUUAUCAACUCCGCUGAACUGCCAAGUCCAAUGCUCUUCCACUUCUAAAUGGGUGGCGCCAGCAACAGGUUCUUCACCCUCCUCUCCACCACCACCUCCACCACUCACCCUUUCCCCCUCCCCCGUUUCCCAUCUCUCCUCAUCCGCCUCUCUCACCGCUCCAAACCCUCACUCUUCCCUUCUUCCUCCCUCUCUUUCCUUUCUCACUCUCAUUCCCUCUCUUCUCACUCCUCCUCUUCCUCUUUCCCUCUCCCUCUCAAUUCCUCUCGCCAUUUCUAUUCCCACUCCCACUCCUCCGUUUCCGCUGCCUACCCUUCUUCUGCCGAGUCCUCCCCUUUCCCGGCCCUGCACCCCUGGCCCGAGUUGUCCCACCUCUUCAACUCAGUCUCUGCCUCCGGUUAUGAUGGAACCAACGGCCAGGAUGAGUUCACCGAGGCGGCCCGGGAUUUACCAGAGGACUUUAUGCGGGCUGCUAGUGUUUUCUUGGCGUUUGCGAGGGCACGAGCUGGCCUUUUGAGGUAUGCUUUGUGUGUUAUGUUUCCUUUCUCAUUGAGCAAUAUUUGGGAUUUCUACUGAUGGGCUCAUAUGGUUUUUUCAUUUUCUUUGCUGCAGGUUGCUUUCGAGGCGAGAUUUGGAGGUUGUUGUGGAGAAUGGGACUCCGUUUCUGUUCCGGAAUGGCGAUGAUUCUGCAAGAAGAAUGAGAUUAUUUCUCAGCCAAGGCGAUACCCAUGUGAGUUUCUAGUGUUGUUGUGAUUUGUACCGUUAGGCGAAACCAAUUGCUAUUACUUGGAAAUGCUCCUGACUUUUAAGUUCUGAUAUAAUGCAAUGGUUUGUUAAGAUACUGAUUUAUUCAGAUAGAGCAAACUCAGAAACUUCAGUAGACUCACAUAGUUAAACAAACUGUAAUGCUACGGAAAUCAAAAUUAAAUUACAGUUUUUGAUGAUUUUUGACGUUAGCGAAAAUUCUGUACUGUGUGAAUUGGAUUCCUCAGCAUAUAAUUUUCACUGAGUUGGGCAGUGUGCAAAACUACCAGAGGUAGCUAAUGUUCUCUGGGUAGGUUUAUCUUCGUGUUUUGUUUGUUUGAUGAGUAUCUGUGCUAGGUAUAAUGUAGAAGGAGAAUUUAGAAAACAAAACAAAAGUGUCAAGGUGGUAUACGAGAUAUUUCAUGGACUCCCGCUGAAUUUGGCAUUUUUAAAGUUCUCUUCUAUUACAUUUUGGUUGUCUCUGACCAGUGUAGUUUUCUAUUGUCUACCUCGUGUAUCUUGGCUGGCAUGCCUUAGAAUUUUUCCGUUCAACUUUACUUUUCAAUAAAUUUAGGAUUGUUUUUAGGAACAAAGUCGGUAUUGGUAGAUCUCUUUGAAUCGUAGAGCAAUGCCAAUGGAGCUUUUACAUUUUAAGAUUUUUUUUUAACUAUUACUAAACUGGCCAAAUGAAUCUUGUCACAAUCUUCAUCAAGAGAAUCUCGAUUAGGGACAGUCAAAAUUGGGAAUGUAAAUUUGGAGAUUUCCUGUACAAAGAGUCAAUAUGUGGGGAGUAGAAUUUAAAAUGAGUGAUUCUCCUUGAUCAGAUGGCAACCUUAUGGUCACUCCUGCCCUGAGUGGAUUUGAGGAUGUAGACAAAGCUAUUUGUAUAUCGGUCUGCCAGUAUAAUCUAUUGGUCUGAGAACUAUGAAGAGAAUAUAGUUUGACCUUUUGUUCUGUUUGUAUUAACCACGAAAUAAGACUUUCAAUGGUGACAUAUUGGUGAUGAAUAACUUAUCCAAGCUAGAACAGCCGUUUGAGAGCCCCAAAUUAUUUUUCUUAAUAAUCAUGGACUGCAACCACAAGCCAGCUCCAGCAAAUGUACAUAGUGCAGUUGGAUUUGGAAACUUCAGAAGAAAGGUUGAACCCAUAUCACUUGCUUACUAGCACCAACAAAAAUAAAGGAUUUACAAUAAAGGACUUUUCAUAAAAAAAAACAAGAAUAAAGGACUUACAAUAAUCCACAAAAGUUGCAAUCAAACCUGAAUUUGAAAUAAAACCAUAAAGAUAUGAUUAAUUCGUCCUUAAUUUUGCUUUUCCUUGAGCAUCUCAUUUAUGUUUGUUUUAGUAUGUGAUAUGUGUCAGUGUUUAAUGUUUCGACUUGGACUGCACUUAAAAUUUUAAAACUCAUUGGACCUUAUCUAAAAUCUCUAUUUCUAAUCUAUGAAUAAGUUAAACCUAAAAUCCAUGUUUUUGGGAGGUAGGGUCGAAUAAUGUAAGUGGAGUAAAGGAAGCUUAAUGAAUCUGGAAAUUAUGAUCAGUUUCAAAAAAUUCAGUUGAAAAUUAUUGUGGACUUAAAAAAAAAAAAAAAAAAAAAAAAAACACAAACGGUAUCUUGUCCCUCUUGCACUUUUCCCUUUAAAUCCCAAAAUCAAUUUAAAUUUUAUUUUUGAUUUGCUAUAAAUAUACUAAGAAUUCUGUGGCCUGUGGUUUAUCUCAAUUUUUAUCAAUACGUUCUGUAUGAUUUAGGUAUUUCUAAUUCCUGGAUUUUAUAUUAAAUAUAUUUUCAUAAGUGCAUUUGAGUUACGUUGUACUAACCCAGUCUAUUUUCGUGCUCUAAUUGCCUUCCGAAUUAUAGGCCUUGGACAUUGAUAAAGCACAAACGGUUGAUUUGAUGAGAUUUCUAUUGAGUUAUGCUAGCAAUCCCCUUUUUUCUUCAGAGAAAAACAAUAUCUACAAUAGCGAAAUUUUGGAAUCAUCUGUCCGUACUCUGCUGGGUGAAAUGUCCAAGCUCUGUUAUAGUGCUCAGGAGUCGAACUGUAUUGGGCCAGUGCAGGGUCAUUCCCUUGAUAACUAUGGAGAACCUAUUAGGCUUUUUGGAAAGACUAUUGAAAUGAAACGGGGUGACUGGAUUUGCCAGAGGUAGAGCCCUUCUUUUGGAUAUCAUCAAUUAUUAUGUUGGAUUAUUUUCUUUCUAAAAUUUCAUUGUAUUUUUGUAUGAAAUGAUUAGGGCUUUGUUAUUGUGUAUUCGACAUUGUUCCUAUUUUUUCUUCUCUUUUUUACUGUAAUGUGUAGUAGGCAUUCUUUUGAUGGACUAAUGUCUAUAAUGAGCAGGUGUAAUUUCAUGAACUUUGCAAGGAACAUGAAAUGCCUUGAGUGCGAGGAAGCACGGCCAAAGAGACAGCUGACUGGCGGGGAGUGGGAGUGUCCUCAGUGAGCAUUGCUUGUUUAUUACAUUUCUCCUCUGGUGUUUGGAUAAUUUUAUUUUCCUGAUUAAUUGAUUAUAAAAAUAACUUCUUUCUCAGAUGUGAUUUUUUUAAUUAUGGGAGAAACAUGGUAUGUUUGAGGUGUGAUUGCAAGCGCCCUGGAGAGUUCUCCCUUCGUUCCAGCAAAACUAGUUUAAGUAUAGGAUAUCACAAUGUGGGUGAUAAAAAUAAAGCUGAUAUCGAUAGCAGGCUGGCUGCCAAUGAAGAGAAGGCACAGCGGUGGUUUAGUAAGAUUUCUCAGCUAGACAGUAGUUCAGACAUGAACAGUGUUGUAUCUGAUGAAGAUUUUCCUGAAAUAAUGCCAUUGAGAAAAGGUGUAAAUAGAUUUGUUGUGAGCACCAGGAAGACACCAUUAGAGAGGAGGCUGGCCAAUGCUCAAUACCAAAAAAACUUGGAUAAUGAUAGUAAUCAUGAAGGCAAGGAUCUCCAAACUGGGGGUGGAAAUAAGUCACUUGGUACUACAGCCAACCGGACUUUAAAUGAAAUUCUUGCCCGUGCAUCUAUUUCUGAAUCAUAUAGUACAAGUACCAAUCCUGGACAAAAUGUUGGAACUGAUUCUCCCUCUUCUAUCUCUAGCUCAGCUGGCUCAGAGUAUGGACACCCUAGAGGGGGCGAUUCCAGUUAUGCCCAAUUUGUGCCAUUACCUGCAGAUACAUUUUCUAAGCCUGAGAACUCGAGUAUGGAAGAGAGUGGGAAUUUCCUGAGAAACAAAAAUGAAUCUGGUAAAUCAGAGGACAGUAUGCAGACGUCUGAGAAGCCUCCGAAACAGGCUGGCAGUAGGGAUGAAGAAAGUGACCAAGCUGAUAAAUCUGAGAGAUGGUUUAAGCGGGUUGCAGAGUUGCAUGAUGUUACUGAUCUGGCAAGUGCAAUAUCGGAUGAGGACUUUCCUGAAAUUAUGCCGAUGCGUAAAGGAGAGAAUCGAUUUGUUGUGAGUAAGAAGAAAGAUCGUUCUUUAACUUCUCCGGCAUACAAGAGGCGUACAUCUACUGAACAAGCUAGCAAUGCCAAUUACGUUCCCUUCGUCCCUUUCCCACCUGACUACUUUGCAAAAAACAACAACAUGCAGACAGAUGGGACAGAUUUGACUAACAAGACUGUUCAUGAAACAACUCCAACUAUGAUCCAAGAUAACCCUCCAGACAAGUUGGUUGAUCCUAGACCUGGGAAGCUGAAUUCUAGUCAUGUUCAGCAGAUGGAAAAUGAGAAAAGCAGCAUGGCAAGCUGGAAUCCAGGAUCUUCAGGAGAAAAUCUCGUAGACAAUAAGACCAGUUUAAUGACUGAUUCUGUUUAUGGACCCCCAAUCGGUGGAAAUUCUGCCCUGCAUUUUGCUAGUUCUAGCACUAACAACAUGGACAGAUUGAACAGUGGAUCUUCUGGGAAAGCGAAUUCUAACCAGACAGCAAGUUUGACAGGGAAUUCGCCCCAAGAGUCCAAUAAACAGAACGUUAGACAGAGCUGGACUGGGAAAAGCUUGGAGGGAUCAGCAGUGAAGGAACCGGAUCCUUUGGAUAUGUCAGAGGAGGCAAAAGCAGAGAGAUGGUUUAAGCGUGUUGCCCAGAUUAAAGACAUCUCAGAGCUGAGUCAGAUUCCUGAUGAAGAUUUCCCAUCAAUAAUGCCAAUGCGUAAAGGGGUGAAUAGGUUUGUUGUUAGCAAGAGGAAAACGCCUUUAGAGAGGAGGCUGACAUCUCCAGAGUACAGAAAAAAUCUUCCAAUUGUGAGCUCUGAUCCAGCGAAGAAAAAUGAUAGUGACUGAGGAAUCACAAGAAAUAUUCGACUUUGUUGUUUUGGAAGAUGAGAUAAUUAAUUUUCUUUUUUCACGAUAAGAUGUUAUUUUUCCCUCAUUGUAUUCAUCAUAACUUGCUCUUGAGAAACAUUGGCUGCAUUUCCAAUAGUGUACAGGAGAUAUACAUUUCAGUUGUUGGCAAAUACUUCAUGUUGUUACUAACCCAUGGGACCAACAGUGUGUACUGGAAACCAAUAGACCGCAUUGUAGACUAUUUCUCUCUCCAAAAUGCAAAGAUCAUAUAUAUAUAUAUAUAAGCAAAAAGUCAUUUUUGGUCCAUGUGGUUUACCACUAAGGUCCCUGUGGUUUUAAUUGGGUUACUAUUGCCCUUGUGGUUUUCGAUUUGAAGCAAUUCAAGGACAAUUCCAAUUUUCUAUCAAAUAGGAUGUUCUUCGGCCGAAAUGCAUUAGGAAAUGGGUAAUGGCUUAAUCUCCUUGCAACCAUCCUUGUUAUCUGAUUUCAAUUUUCCCAAACUCUCAUAAAUUUGACCCACCUUUAUAUUAUGGGUUAAUUACUCAAAUGGUCUACAAACUUAUACCCGAAUUGUAUUUUCGUCCCUCAACUAAAUUAUUCACUCAAAUGGUCCAUUAACUCUCUGUUAUUCGACAAAUUAGUCCACCAUUACAUUCUGUUAAAAUUAUUGUUAAAUAUGAGGGCAAAUUGAUCGUUUUGUACUCUCUCUCUCUUUCUCUUAGGCAAAGUUGAAUGAAUAUUUGGGCCAAGUCAUAUUUCUUUGGGAAAUAGCUCUAAAUGCCACUUUUUUUUAAAUAUAAUUUUAAUUGAAAAUACCACAUCUCCCCAAAAAAAAUUUCAACUAUCACCUAUAAAUAUAUAUUUAUUGUCCACUUAUUGCACACCUAUCACUUUUGCUGAAAUUUUGUUCUCUCUGUCGCUCAGCUCUCUCUGUCUCCGUUGCUCAGGUCUCACUCUCUCUUCGGUCAGCUCUCACUCUAUCCUCUCUCUUUCACUGUUGCGGGAAGCUCUAGGCGUCUCUUGCGCAGCUCUCUGUCGUGUAGUUCUCUCUCUCUCUCUCUCUCUCUCUCUCUCUCUCUCUCUCUCUCUCUCUCUCUCUCUCUGUGACGCAGUGGUCUUCCUCUUCCAUCGUUCACCUGCAAAAGGUACUGUUCAUCGUCAAUUUGAAUUGGUUUAGGGGUUUUUCUGAAGUUGGUUUAGGGUUUAUGGGUUUCUAUGAAAUUGCUUUAGGGUUUAGGAGUUUGUUUGAAAUUGGUUUAGGGGUUUCUCUGAAAUUGGUUUAGGGUUAAGGGGUUCCUUGGAAAUUGUUUGAUUCUGAUGAUUCCUUAUUUGAAACAUUAAAUGGGUUUGUUCUUUGUGGAUUUAUUCUUGCGUUUGAUUUGGGAUUCUGUUGUUUUGCAGUUGUUUUGUUGUUAUUAUUGAUGUUUUAGUGCUAUUUUUUGCUAUUGUAUUGCCAAUUUAGUGGUUUUGUAUUGGCAUUUUAGUGUUGUUGUAUUGCUAGUUUAUUAUGGUUUUAUUUUUGUUCCAUUAUGGUUUUAAUGGUUUUGGCGAUUUUUGCAAUUGAAGUUUGUGUUUCCUGUUGUUUAUUUUUUCAUCCAAAGAAGGGAAAUUGUAGGUGUCAUUUAUAGUCUCUACAUUACCUGUUUUGUGGCAUCCACUUGGAAAUUCACUUAUCACUUAUCACUUGGGAAUUCACUCUGCUCCUUAAUUAUUUCAGGAAAUUCUUUAUAUGAAUAUGCAGACAUGGAAGCUAUGUUGGAGGUGCUUUAUAUGGUGAUCCAUAAUGUCGGUGGCUGUGGCUAAUUGCCUUACAUGGCAUAUGAACUGUUUCCAUUUUGUAGACAUGGCAGAUCAAUUGUCCUCAAUUUGGAGCAGGAAUAUGCAUCAAUUUUAAGUUUGUCAAACCAAAUUUGGUAGUACGUGUAAUGAAUACCAAUAGGGAUGUAUUUAUCAUUCGGUUUUCAAAUUGGGUUUUUGUUUUCGAGUUGCUGUCGUGGUUAUCAUUCUUAUUCUGUACAUUGUGAAGUUGAACUAUUUCGUACAGCUCGAUAUAUAAACAUACUUGCUCUUUAUGGAGGUAUAAUAGUUUACUUGUUUGAAACGUUGUGUUUGUUUAUAUUGAAUUAUACUCAUUUUUGUAUAAAUUUUUUUACAUUUGGUCUAUGUAGUUUUCUUCAUUUUUUUGUGCUGAAUCCAAUCAUAUACAAAACACAAAAUUUGCAUAAUCCAUUGAAAAGUUAAAGGUAAAAAAAUGGACAUAUGUCAAAACUGAAAAAACAGAGGAAGUGCAUAAUUCGUUUCUGCCUCAAUCGUGAUAAACUGGUACUACCAUGGUGAUACAGUGGGGAUACAGUGGCAAUAAAAAAGUGCUAGAAAUUGUUGUUUGUGUUUAUUUUGGGUUACUUGUUUUGUUUCAUUUCAUUUUUUUUUUUUUACUCAUUACUAGUUUAUAAUUGGAUGAUUAGGAGAUUAAUUUGUGUCAAUUAUUAAUACAACAAUUACAUAUAUGAAGAAUAAGACGAACAACAUAUCAUAUCACCAAACAUAAUCACACCACCAAAUAUAAUCAUGCUUUUCUCCAACUCAUCACCAAGCAUUUGCAUAUUUAUUCAUACUAGCCUUUUUUUGUCAAAAAUUUUUUGUAAAAAAUUUGACAUCAUCAUUGUUUAUACCAAAAUAAACGGCCUAUUACCACCGAACACGUGGAGGGGAUCGAUACUGAUCAACAGACCCCUUCGGCAUGCUCCCUACCGAAGCCAUCUAUCUUGACCUCUUUCACCAUCAGACACGUGCCAUGCUCACAGUCCAUGCCCAGAGUCCCACAUCGGAAAUAUGAGCACAGUGCACACCUCCCAAGGCCUAUAAAAGGAGACCCAUAUCCCCAAAAGGAGGGGAUCAGAACUAACGGUACACUAUCGUGUGAUCUAUCAGUUAAACUUUACUAAAUCCGUACUUACUUAAGCAUCGGAGAGCCUUCGGCCGGUACUACACCGGUACCCAAGGAUUUACCGAACGUGACUUUUUGUAGGUACUUACCCUUCCGCAGUAGAACAUCUACCGAGGACAGUCACCUGCCGAAAGCCUAAUCACUAAGUUGACGAAAUACGUGCCGACCCACUUUUUCGCAUAAACAGUUUGGCGCCGUCUGUGGGAAUCCGAAAAAUUAUUAACCCACUAUCUCCUAAACACAUGGGGACCACUUCAAUACCUACGUACUUAACGGAAGAGGGAGGACCGUUCGGAAGGCAGAGCGGAGCUAGCCCAGCGCUACCUCCGGGCACUCCCUUCGGAAAUGCCCCCGCUACCCAAACAACCGCCGAAGCCGAGCUGGCAGCCCAAAUCGCAACCUUACGGAAGGACAUGGCGAGGCUUCAGGAACACAACAACUUUCUUUUGUCCAAGGUGGACGAAACCCAGCAGCUGCUCCACCAGCGGCACCCGCAGGACAUCCAGAUAACUCACUUUUCCGAAAGCCUGCAAACCCCUCACGGGAGGAAGAAACGCGAUAAGGCAGCGACGGCAACGCCCGCUCCUUCCAAACAAUUGGUGGUCCCGCCACCCAGGGACCAGCCACAUGUCCCGAAGAAGGUCUACAACGAUUGUCGACAUCGGAUCAAUGAUCGAGAGGCAGAGAGACAGAGGUCUCCGAUCAGGAUGAGCGCCCGACUAAAGGAUUCACGGAUGAAGAUCCUGGGAGACAAGUCGCCCAUUCGGAAAGUGAGGGGGUUGGGCCCCGAAGAGGAGUCGGAAUCCGAGUACAUCCCGUCCGGGACGCAAACGUCCACCUACCGUUCGGCAACACAUUCGCGGAACUCGGUUAACCCACUCAACCUACAGAGGCAAACGGAAGACUUCGAUUCCGAGGAAAUCCCUAGCCGAGACCCUGCUGUACGACUCCUUUUUCAAAGAAUCCAGAAAAUGGAGAACGACAACGCCCGCUCCCAGGGGCCAGAGUGGGGAAAGCUUCGACCGGGGCCAUUUACCAGGCGCAUCCGGGACUCUCGGUAAGAUCGGGAAGGGCAGCAGCUUCGGAUACCGUUCUAUACAGGAACGGAAGACCCCUUAACCCACCUCCACUCAUUUCAGUCCGCCAUAGGAUGCAAGGGCUUGAGCGAUGAAGGGCAGUGCCUGCUAUUCCCGUCCUCCCUUACCGGGGCAGCCCUGAACUGGUUCUUCCGGUUAGAGCCAGAAACGGUAGACUCCUUCGACGAACUGAAACAGAUUUUCCUCAACCACUUCAUGAUUCAAACGGACCGUCUUUACUCUGCCGAUGACCUGUACACGAUUCGGCAAGGAGAGGACGAACCGUUGAGAGAGUACGCAGCGCGUUUCAGUCACGAGUACUCAAGGUGUCCGGAAACAGACGACAGGGCAGCCUACGGCGCCUUUAAGAGUGGCCUUCGGUCCUCACAUUUUCGAUACCUAGUACACAGCAGCAACUGGCGGACGUAUGACGAACUGCUGAAGCAAGCGGCCAUCCACACCAAGGCCGAAUACUUCAACUCAAAGCCCACGGCUUCGGCAUCACGAGGAAACGAAGAAUCAAGUGCUUAUCCGGCAAAGGCGACACCCUACGGGAGAACCGAUACAUACUCGGCGGGUCAUAAGAGAAAGGACGACCGCGCCGAUCGAAGAGAACCCUCGAAGAAAGGGAAAGGGCGGUACGGUAGCAACGACCACCGAGCGCCCCUGCCAAAUCGUGACCAAGCCAAUGAAGUCUUCACCCUGUUGAACACUACCUACGAGGCCGUUCUGAUGAACGAACAGGGAAUGAUACCGAAGCCGAAUGCCCGAAGACCAAAUCAGCAAGACAACCGAGAGACCGGUAAAUUCUGCCAAUACUACCAGCACAACAGCCAUAAUACAGAAGACUGUAUAAGCCUGAGAAAAAUUGUUGAGCGAUUAAUCAGGGAGGGGAAGCUGGAUCAGUACAUCGCCCGGCCGCCAACGGCGCCGGUGCCGAAUCCGGUUCGGCAGAUAAACAUGAUAAGCACUAUUAGCGGUGGCCCCACCAUCGCAGGAAUGAGCAACCGGUCAAUGAAGCAAUAUGUGCGGGCCGCGCAGUUUCUUCAGGUGUUCGGCAUAGAGCUUAAUCGGCGCCAGGAAAUCCCGAAAGUUCGUUGGGAACCAAUCACAUUCUGCAAGGAGGAGGAAGAGGGCAUCCUCUAUCCCCAUGACGACCCAAUGAUCAUCCGGGCAGAAAUCGCAAACUACGACGUAGGAAGAGUGCUGAUCGAUACCGGGAGCUCGGUGAACGUGAUUUUUUCCGAAGCUUUCCGAGGGAUGGGAAUAAAGGACUGCCAGGUAAACCGGCAGUUGACACCUUUGUUAAGUUUCUCCGGAGAUUUGGUCCAACCAAUCGGCAGCGUGAAAUUACCCAUCACCUUCGGCACCGCACCAAGAAAAACGACGGUAUACGAUCAAUUCCUCAUCGUUGAUUGCCCUACGGCGUACAACGUCAUAGUUGGACGAACGACGCUCACCAUGGUCAAAGCACAUCUUUCCCCCCACAUGCUACUGAUGAAGUUCCCAACCCCCUACGGCACGGGGGCUGUCCGGGGAAAUCAGCUCAGCGCUCGGACUUGUUAUGCCACGGCACUCAAGUCAACCACUGUCCAAAUACCCGACGAGACCAUGUCUGUACAGGGGAUACCGAACGGUACGGGACCCGUUGACGACCCCAGAGAUGAGUCCCCGACUCCACACACGCAACCUGCCGAAGAACUGGAAACGAUAACCCUGAAUGACGAGCAGCCCGAUCGUCGGGUUAAGAUCGGCACCAGACUCGCCCCUGACCUCCGAGCGCAGUUCAUAGACUUCUUGCGGCUGCAUUCGGAAGUAUUUGCGUGGUCUUACGAGGAUAUGCCCGGCAUAGAUCCUGAAGUCAUCAGCCACAAGCUCAGCAUCUCCCCUGCAUAUAAGCCUGUAAGGCAGAAGCGCCGUUCGUAUGAUGCCGAACGAUACGAAGCGAUGCGCACAGAGGUCAACAAACUUCAAACCAUCGGCUUCAUCAGAGAAACUACGUAUCCGGUAUGGCUGGCAAACUCGGUGAUGGUCCGGAAAGGUACAGGCGGUUGGUGGAUGUGCCAAGACUAUACCGAUCUGAAUAAGGCCUGCCCGAAGGACAACUUUCCGUUGCCACGGAUAGACCAACUCGUGGACGCCACCGCAGGACACGAACUGCUGAGCUUCAUGGACGCCUAUUCGGGAUACAAUCAGAUAUUCAUGCACCCCCCCCCCCCCCCGACAGCGAACACACCGCCUUCAUAACGGACAGGGGUUUGUACUGUUACAACGUCAUGCCGUUCGGCCUGAAGAAUGCGGGGGCAACAUAUCAAAGGCUCGUCAACAGAAUCUUCGCCAAGUACAUCGGCAACAUCAUGGAGGUUUACGUUGACGACAUGCUGGUAAAGAGCAAAACCGCCGAGGAACAUCUACAGAAUCUGUCAGUCAUGUUUGGCGUGCUGAAGGAUUAUCGGAUGAGGCUGAACCCAACGAAGUGCGCGUUCGGUGUAUCUUCCGGGAAAUUCCUCGGAUUCAUGAUCAGUGAGAGGGGUAUCGAAGCGAACCCCGAAAAAAUAAAAGCAAUCAUCAAUAUGGAGAGGCUGAAAACGGCGAAGGACAUUCAAAGCCUUACCGGACGUGUGGCAGCCUUGACUCGUUUCAUAUCCAAGGCCACCGACAAGUGUGUUCCGUUCUUUAAAGCCUUGAAAGGGGGCAAACGGGAUAUCAUCUGGAUUGCCGAGUGUGAUAAAGCGUUUCAAGACUUAAAGGACUACAUAGGCAGAGCACCCCUCCUGUCAAAACCACUACCUGGGGAGAUUCUCUAUCUAUACCUUUCGGUAUCUGGCACCGCUGUCAGUUCGGUAUUGGUCCGAAAGCCAGAGAGGGCAGAGCUACCAAUUUUCUAUGCCAGCAAAGCACUCCAAAGCACUGAACUUCGGUACCCCCCAUUAGAGCAGCUUGCACUAGCCCUGGUAGUCUCGGCACGAAGACUUCGGCCAUAUUUCCAAGCACAUGGGAUCAAAGUUCUGACCAACCAACCGCUUCGGCAGGUGCUCCAAAAACCAGAGACUUCUGGCCGAUUGAUCAAGUGGGCGAUCGAACUCGGAGAGUUCGAUAUACAAUUCGUGCCAAGACCCGCCGAAAAGGGUCAAGCCGUUGCCGAUUUCAUCUCCGAACUCACCCUAUCAACGGCACAGCCGACGGCCGAGCCGGUUACCGAAACCGAAACGCCAAUGGAAGUAGACGCCGAACGGCUCGACACCUCAAGGCCCGUAUGGGUUCUACAUGUCGACAGCUCGGCAAACCAACAAGGAUGCGGGGCAGGCCUGGUACUGACAACACCAGAGGGGCUCAAGAUCGAGUACGCCCUUCGAUUCAACUUCCGAACCUCCAACAAUGAAGCCGAAUAUGAGGCUCUCUUGGCCAGCCUUCGGUUAGCCAAAAGCAUGAACGCAAAACAAAUCAGGAUUCACAGCGACUCCCAGCUCAUUGUGAACCAGGUAACGGCAGACUUCGUGGCUAGAGACGCCUCCAUGAACGCCUACCUUUCAUCCACCCACCAGCUGCUCCAAAACUUCCAAGCCUACGAGAUCAGGCAGAUCCCCAGAAGCAAAAACAGCCAUGCCGAUGCAUUGGCACGCCUAGCCUCGGCAAUAAACGAUAAAAUCGGAAGAAAGGUACCGGUGGAAAUCCUUGCCCGACCGAGCACGGUAGCCUCCGAAACAUUUACCGUACGGUACGAGGAUACAUGGAUGUCUCCUAUCUACUCGUACCUGACCAACGGCACCCUUCCAGAGGACAAAGCCCAGGCCCGAAAGCCUAGGUACCGAUCAGCGAGGUACACCGUCAUCGACGACGUCCUUUACAAACGUGGCUACACAACUCCAUAUCUCAAGUGCCUUACGGCAGAACAGGGGGACUACGUCCUCCGGGAGAUCCAUAACGGUGUGUGCGGCGACCAUUCCGGAUCCCGAUCACUCUCCCACAAAACCUUUCGGCAAGGGUACUUUUGGCCGACCAUGCACCAGGACGCUAUCUCGCUGGUAAAAAAGUGUGAUAAAUGCCAGCGUUUCGGCGCCAUACCGCACAUCCCUGCCGAACCUUUGACGCCGAUUGUGAGUCCUUGGCCUUUCGCACAAUGGGGACUGGAUCUGAUCGGUCCAAUGCCGCAGGGCAAAGGCCAGGUGAAAUACGCGGUGGUUGUCGUUGACUACUUCACCAAAUGGGUAGAGGCCGAGCCUCUGGCAACCAUAACGGCAGCAAGAGUGGAAGACUUCGUUUGGACUCAUAUUUGUUGCCGGUUCGGCAUCCCGUAUGCAAUCAUUACCGACAACGACAGGCAGUUCGAUUCGGAGGUCUUCAGGCAAUUUUGCACCCGCCUGAAAAUCAACUUGUUUUUUGCAUCACCGGCACAUCCCCAGUCAAACGGCCAAGUAGAGGCAAUAAACAAAAUCAUCAAGAAACUGCUGAAACGGCAGCUGGACAAAGCCAAAGGAGCCUGGCCAGAGAAGCUUCCCGAAGCGCUAUGGGCCAUUCGGACCUCCUACCGAACGUCUACAGGAGAGACCCCAUUCUCUUUGGCUUUCGGUUCGGAGGCCGUUGCGCUGGUAGAGAUUGGCGAACCUUCCUACCGAACGGAAACCUUCGCACCGAAUCCAAAUGAAGAAGCACUUUCUCUAAACCUCGACCUUCUUGAAGAGCGCCGAGCACAUGCCAACCUUCGGAACGAGGCCUACAAGCAACGUGUCUCUCGGUAUUACGACUCUAGAGUCAGACACCGCUCAUUUCGAAUCGGUGACUGAGUCAUGAGGAAGGUGUCCCUAGCAACUAAGGAUGCCACGGAAGGAACCCUCGGACCUUCCUGGGAAGGGCCUUAUGAGAUCAUCGGUAUCCUUCGAUCAGGGACCUACCGCCUAAGAGAUACCAACGGCAAGACCCUCGGUCAUCCUUGGAAUGUAGAACAUCUCAAGUACUACUUCAAGUAACCUAGCCUACGGCAGGACAAAUUUAUAACCUAGCCUACGGAAGGACAAAAUUGUAAACGCCCUUCGGCAGAAAUUAAUGGAAAGCCUUCGGCACUAUUACUUCAGAAACUCUUGUUAUAGUCUCUACUAGCCUACGGCGGCCAAUAUAGGCAAGAUAACGUUCUACGGCAUCUUUAUUAGCCUACGGCAAUAAAUAUUUUCGAAAUUAUUACCCUACAGAUUCUGUCAGAACUUGUCAAUUUCGGAGUGGCCUUUAAACGUUAUAAAUCCUAUACGGCAAUAAGAAAAAUCGGCAAUUGAAUAAAAUCAGAUCGAACAAACAGAAGUAGAGAAAAAUAUGCAUUUAAUUUAAAGAUGCCCUCGACAUCAAUGUGUUCGAUACAUACAAAAAUAAAAAAUUAAAAAAAAAGAAAAACUAGUUAUUACAAGAAAGUCAAAGGAGGCCCUCAAGCUUCGUCACCAGCAGCAGCAUCGGCGGACCCAGAGCCUUCGGCGGCGUCCUCCCCCUCAUAAUCCUCAAUCAUUUCUUCGGUAAUCCCUUCUGGUAGAGGAGGAGGGUCGGCAAUGAAGUUUAGGUUCAGUUUCUGCCCAGGGUUGUACCGCUUGAAUCGGUACAACAGGUCCGCCAUCUCCGAGCCCACUUCCUUAUCCAGAAGGAUAGAGAACUCGGAAGACGAACGGUACCCCUGGAUAGCCGACUGAACCGCAGUCUCAAUCUCUGCGGCCUUGGCCCGUUCCGAUUCCUCCAGGGCCGUCUGCGCCGCUGCUUUCGCCCGCCCCGACUCCUCCAAAGCUGCCUGCACCGCGUCUUUGGAAGCCUCGGCAUCCUUCGUUGCCUCGAGAGCAGCCUCCAGGAGCCCCUUCAUCUCCUCCACCUGCCGUUCGGCGGAAUCCUUCUGCUUGACAAGGAGGGCGUGCUCCUGGAGCGCUUUGCCAGCCUCGGCAACCUUGGACCUGCCGUCCUCGUACGCCUUCUUGGCGCGCUCGGCAGCAGUAAUGGCCCGCUUAACGCAGAGCCACAUAUCCAUGGAUGCCUGCACAAAACACCGAAGGUCAGAAGCAUAAAACACAGUAGGAGAGAACGACGAAGGAAGAGGAAAAAAUCUUACCGCGGCCUGAAGCCUGAAGGCGCGUCCAGCCUCCUCCCGAAGGAAUUUCUUUGGGAGUUCGUCAACCUCCGGCAGCUCCAUCUGAGAGCCGAGGAUCAUGUGGUUGACGAACUUGACAGUCUUCGCCGGGCAGGCGAUGGAGAUGGCCUCGGAAGGACCGUCCUCGUCCUCCGCCGCAAGGACGGCCCUGGGAACUUCCGGCUGGCGGGGGUGCUUGGGGGCCGGCUCGGCCUCCAGAUCGAUCAUCUCCGGACGCUUGCCGGCCGCCUUGGAGGUGGCAGCCUCGGCGUCCCGAGGCCUCGGCGCGACAGCUUCAUCGGCUGUGCGCCUCGGAACGGCACCGGCAUCGAGCUGCCGAAGGCGAUCCGCGAGGGUUUGGUCCUCCGGGUCCGGCACUGACUGCCGAACGGCAGCCGCCUCGGGCUGCUUUCUUUUCUUUUUGCCCUCCAGGCCCAUCAUCAGGCGCCUCCUGGAGGACUCGUUCAUCUUUUUGGCCUCGGCAGCUUUCCUGGCGUCCGUCACUGAUCAAAAAGGGACUUAGUCAGUUCAGUGAGCCAAGACAAUACACAAAAAAAGAGAGAAGAAGAAAAGUCUACAUACUCUCGGUAGGGUCGACGAGGCCGGCUUUGAUAAGGUUGCCGGUGAAGAGAAAGCGCGGAUAGACUCGCUCGGCAGCGGGUACUCGCAGCUUCACUCUGUCAAGCUGCCGGAUCUCGC